GGUUGUGCGACUAAGGCAGCAGCUACAGCAUGCCGCAAUUCGGCGUUCUCGCAGUGUGCGAACAACUGCUACACAGUUUGCACCGCCGGGACCAUCGCGCCUUGCGCUUGAAGAUGCAUUUGUGUUCCUACUUCCACAUUAUUGUUACUGGUGAGUGUGUGCAAGCAGGCCUGCCGUCCACGGGAGGAGGCACGCAAGCACGCAUGAUAAGCCACUGUCGUUUUUCCACUUUAUCAUUUACUUAUUGAAGGCAAUGUACGUGCCUAGCUCCUGUGUGGUUGAGCAUGUCAUCUUGGAAUUUUGUCCAAAGUUUAACAUACCAUGUUGUAUUGUUGUGUAUGGGUAUCAAUAUAAUUUAUCAACUAUUUUUCGUUUACCAUAGACAUUUCUAUGUUUAUUUGCAAGGGUUAGGGAAAUUUGUCCUUGAUAGUGUACUAACCGCGUCUGCCAACUGAACAGAUCAACUUUCUCAACAGCCUAUCUCCUACUUGAAAAAAUAUUCGCUUUAGAAAUGGUUUGUUUCUUUUCUGUGUAGCUCUAUCACCCAUCACCGUGAGGGUUACAAAACUCGGCGCAAGGGUUCCAAGCUGUGGCGCCACAAACCACAUAAGCUGUGGCGCAAGGGUUCUAGCUGGCUAGUCACAAACAACUAUUUCAUCCCGGAUGUCUUCCAUGCCCAUGGAGCUGCCGCUUUCUUGAUCGAGUAAUCUAUGCGCAUGAACGAGUUCGGUAUUUGUCUGAUCGAGGAAGACGAGGUAGCACAUUUAUGUGAAAGCAGUACUGGCGGACAUGAUGGUCGGUGGCCUAUUGAUUAUCUUCCAACUCCUUUAUGCCAUUAUCAGUACUACAGAAAUCAUUUGUAGGGGUGAAGUGUUUUUUUUUAGGGUGGACCAAAAGGUCUGCCGCCCCCAGGGGCGGAGCUACAGUCAACCAUCGAUGAUUUGGUCGCGAGCUCUUAUAUCCUUCCCAGGAGCCCAUACGUUGCUACGGAUGAAAAUAAUGUAUAUAAUUACAUUAAUCAUGAUUCGUUAUUUCAAAUGUGUGACAUAUUAUCGAAUUUACGUAUCUUUCUAUGCAUUUUUCGAACAAAGAGAUAUUUUUAUAAUAAUUUUAUCAGAGUAACAUUAGACAUAAUCUUCUAUGGUAUAUUAUGUACUCUAGUAUGUAAAUCUUAUGUUUGUUUGUGUAGUCUUCUACGUUGCUCGCUUUUUAUAAUAAAAGUAGAGAGAGGUGUGCGCCUGUGAACAACAAAAACCCCAAAAUGUAGACAAUAAUAAAUAUAUUAUAUUUAUUAUUUUUUCCUAGAAUAAAAAUAUGGACUCAUCGAGCCCAUGACAAGCGCAAGGAGGUGGUCCGGCAGCCCCAUCCAUCCAUCCAUUGUUAUCCACACUUGCUAAACAAAUGAAUUAAAAACAUAAUUUUAUCCACACAAGAGACGGAUGAAUUGUUUGGUACUGCACUUUCUUAGACGUUGCUGUUGCUGGAUUGGGCAUUAGGAAGGCGUCGCUCGGCUGUGCAGAGGUGCCAUUGGGGCUUUGUGGAGGCACCCCUACGUUGUGUCGGAGCGGAGCUACAGGCAGCGUAAGCGGCCGGGUAGCACGCCACAACAUGCUAGAGACAGCGCCGAGCCUUGAGCCUUCGACUGGGGCUGCUUAUAGCGCCAACACCGCUCUGUAUCUUGCUCAGUGGAUGGGCGGACGACGGCGAGCGGCGCCUAGGAGAACUGCAAAUGCUCCUGCACACAUGCCCCAUGGGCCGGAACUGCACACUAACCCCCGCGAACGAUGGUAGUAGGGCAACAAAGCUGGCCAUGGCGCUGCUCGUUGAGCUUUCCGUGUGCGCGAACAGGCAUUUGAUAUAUUCCCUACAAAAUUAAAGGUUGUUUGAUUCAACGGUCAAAUAGUGCGAGCAUGUUAAUUGAUGCGAGUGUAUUGUGGGAACUGCCAAGGAACUGCAGGGCAUCGAGCAAGCAGUGGUGUUGCUCGGAAGUACCAGCACUGACGCGCUUUCUGAUGUGUCUCCAGCGGGGGUGGCAGCGUCUGCCUGCUCGGCAGCAGUUUCACCCUAUUCUGGGCAUCUCCCCACGCGUCUUGGCCAUCAUUACCUCUGGCAUUGUUAAGGUAUGGCUUCCUUUCAGCGUCGGCCGUUUCUUUCUCCAAUGACCGGUUAAAAGAUCAUUAUCUAAUCAACCAUUCACGUCGCCCAUAGUGUAGGCAACAGGCUAUUCUAUUGCGAUCCGCUGUCGCCUAUCGCUUCCCUUCAGAAUUUGAAGUCAGAAAUUCUUUUGUUUCAAUUUUGCUAGCUCCACUAGUUUUCUUAAAUCAGAAUCAAGUUGAAACCAGAAGAGCCUUGUUAGCUUGUUUGAUCUAUACUUCGUUGUAGCAAAUGUAAAAUGACAACUCAUAUAAUGGUUGUUUCAUAUUCUAUCUGCAAGUCUUCUUCUCAUUCACACGAUGGAUGGCCAUAGGCACAAAGAGAAUUGAAGUAGUAGACCAUAAUCAAUAUAGUAAAAGCUUAAAAUCUCAAAAUAUGUCAUCAUUUAUUUUUCAUUAUGUUAUCCAUAGAACUAUAGUAUGAGUUAGAAUAUUGCAUGGACAUCAGAUCAGCUACAACAUUUCCUAGCUUCGCCCUUCGCCGCCCCUGCAGCAGCUAGCCCAAUCCAGGAAAUGUAUUUCCCAGGUGGGGGUGAGCAGACCCUGGAAAUAAGCUGGGGACGGACCAGCACGUCAACCGUCUCUGAAAAUAGCCCAUUUCAGAGGUGGGCAACUCCAUGGUCCGUCCUAGCAGAUUGAAUUACAGGAGCAGACGACACGAAGCAUCACCCUGCUGCUCAACCAAAUUUUGUAUGGACAACGCGCAAAUGAAAAGGCAAGCGGAAAGCAUAAGGUCCAUUCUGCUCCGCACAUAUAUCUUAUCUCAACCACAGCUUUCCAUGUCAUCUCCUUAGAGAAACUCCGACAGAUUGAUUUUCCACAUUCCCCUUUAUCCUCUUAUAGGGCAUUCCCUUUCACGAUUUCUGAAUUUUGAAGACUAGUGCGGCAAGAAAUUUUGUAUAGUAACAAAGAUAAUCUCAGGCCCACUUGCUACACAUACAUGCACGGUAAAUAGAAAUGGUCAUUUUCUAUGUCUAAGGCAUGCUCAGCUUCAAAGUCGUUCUGUUGUUAGCAUCGUUGUGUUGUUUCUGAUAACGUGCAGGAGGAAGCCAAAACACAGAGUAGAAAGAGGAUGAGAAAUUAAAGAAGACAAUGAAGCUCACGUUCACGUCUACAUGAGGGAGCUCUCACACAAGCAAGUCCAUUCAUCCUCUGUCUCCAUGCUGUUGAUGAUAACAUAUCACAUGUCCUUUGCCUUGACGUCGGCGGCAGGCUGGCAGCCCAAUGAACCCAUGACGAACAGCAUGAGCAUGACCAGCUAACUUCAUUGCUGAGUACGACAUGUGGUUAUCCUUGCUAUAACUAAUGUUGGUCAGAAGAAGAAGCUGCUAUAAAGUUGUUCUGAAGACGCUGAGUUCUAGGCGUACGCAAGCCCCGGUUGAUUGCCUGCGAGGUUUGGAACCUUCGUUUCCAGGAUAAAGCUGUAAAUCUCUGAUAGACUCUCUUUAUAUCUCUUUAUGUGAUACUAUUACUGUUAUUCACUGAUGAUGUGACUAUAUGUAUGAAACUUGAUCAUGUCAUACAUACAGUUAGCACUUGGUUUUGCUGUUCUAAAAUCAGAUGUGACACCUACGAACCCAUGACGAACAGCAUGAGCGUAACCAGCUAACUUCAUUGCUGCUGCCUUUCGUAGAUGUUGGUGAACAUGACGUGUCUUUCAUCUCCACGAUGGCGACGGAUCCAAAGAUCGAAGAACAUGCAUCAACGCGAUCCGUAUGGCGUGUUUUCUGGUAUUUCCACCCCAUGAUGUAACGCCGACCAGGUUCCAUACGAGGCCUACGGCCACUCUGUUCACUUUCAUCACGUGCUCCGAUGAGAGUUCAUCACCGUGAUAAAAGACGGAGAUGAGGGCACACAGUCGUAGCUGCAAGUAAGGCCAACAGGCUCAAGGCCAUGGCUUUACAGCCAGCAGUCUUGCCUUGCAUGCACUCACGGACUAUUACCGGACUAGCAAUUGGUACUUUGACGCACUACAUGGACCCUUACAAAUUAAAAAAAUGAACGUCAACAAGCAAAUGAAACUGCAUGAACUGAAGUAGGGAAAUGAAGACCACGUACAGUUCUUAUUGAAGCUGAAAUGUAUGUCAUAAAAGUAUUAUUGUUAGAUUAAAGUCAAUUUAAAUAUUUAAACGAGUAACGAGGGCUCUGAUUAGUAGCAGGUGUAGUGAGGCCCUCCAAUAGACCAAUCAACGAUUUUUAGUUCCAACUGUUUAUAUGGUAAGUUCGGAUAUUUAAUUAAUAAAUUGAAGUUGCCUUAAAAUAUGCAUAGUAAAUCACAAGACCAAAGUGGAAUAACCAUUAGACAACUAAUAAAACCAUCUUUAAGUUUUUCUCUACUUUUAGCAAUAUUGCUUAGGUUUUCUAUUUCGUCUAAAUAUAUCUUAAGCGGCUCAUAUGUCCGAAUUACCCACACAGUGAAUAAAUGUCAUUCCAGUUCAAGGAUUCAUGUGCAGUUGUCACACACUAGUGUGAACCCAUCAAGUGUGUGUCUUGCUUCCCUUUUCAAUCAACAAGCUACCUCCCUGAUUUGAAUAUAAUAAACUUAAAUGCUUCAGUUUCUAUGGUCCAUUGUUAUGUGAUGGAUAUGAAAAAUGAAAAAUAUAGCCUACAAUGUUCAAAAUGCAUCUGAAGUACUAGGGUAUAAAAUAAGCUCACUGCCAUCCAAGUACAAGGGUUAACAACUAGAAAUAUAACCUUUAUUGCUAUCUGUAAAGAAAAUAUGCCUGUUGAAUUACAUGUUCGGGAAAGGUGAAUGCACGGAUUGAUGGCUACUAUUAGCUAAUGUUGUUGUCUUUUUUGUUAAUAACUAGGUUUCCAAUGCCAAACUCUGCGUAAGGGUUCAGCAACUGGCUACAUAUUGGAAAGGAGUUAGUGUUGGUGGCUAGCCCUCAUUAGAGAUAACUAUUUCAUCCCUGAUGCCUUCCAUGCCUAUGGAUGUACCGCGUGCUCGAGUAAGCUAUGCUUGCAGAUGGAUCUUAAACCUGGUGUCAAAUUGUGGAUAAUUGAAAGAGUUUGCUGUUUGCCUGCUUUAGGGAAGAUGGGUAGCACGUUUAUAUGCCAUUAUUUCUCAUGAAAGCGUGCAUAUACCAUGUUUGUCGGAGCAAGAUGAGGCUGUAGAGUAGUAGACGUGUAGAACAAUGAUACAGGUUGUAUGAAUAAUUUAUCGAAGGGGAUCAUAGACGCCACAGCCACUGAAGCUGUUGAGGCAUGAUUAGUCAAUGGUCUAAUUCCUGAUAUCUCCGUAUCCUGAUUCUCUGAAGCCUUACGGACUCUACCCUCAUCACUUCAUGUAUAUUAGUGUUUAUAAUAGCGGUUUUAUAACAAGUGCUGAAGGUAUUGGUCCUGCUAUAUCUUGCUUCCACUACCGGAUUUGUGUACAAAAUAUUAAUUCUUGAGAUUUGUCAAUGAUUUUAGGAAGCAAUGAUACCUUCAACUACCGGAUUGCAUAUAUAAGUUAGUCUUAGCCAGUUAUAUAUCAGAGGAGGAAGCACGCAUUAAAUAAUAAAUAACUCAUGUUGAUUCAACUGGUAACCUGGCCUAUGUCACUCGGAUACACCGUUUCUCUGAGGUGUUCCAGGAGGCAUAAGUUGUGGAACAAUUCCGCAACUCUUUAGAUGAUUGCUAAACUCAUCAGAUCGUAAGGCCUUAAUUUUUUUGCGAUGCUGAUUUUCAACUUCAUUCUGAAAUUCCUUGAACUUUUCAAAGGUUUCGGACUUGUACCUCAUCAAGUAGACAUAGCCAUAUCUACUAAAAUCAUCAGUGAAAGUUAUGAAGUAUUGGAAUCCUCCUCUAACCUUCGUGCUCAUUGGUCCGCAUACAUCACUAUGUACGAGUUUCAACAAGUCUACUGCUCUCUCAGGAAAUCUUGUGAAAGGUGUCUUGGUCAUCUUGCCUAGCAAGCAAGCCUCACAUAUCUCGUAUGAUUCAAAAUCAAACGAAGUUAGAAGUCCAUCAGAAUGGAGCUUUUUCAUGCGCUUUUCACUUAUAUGACCCAAAUGACAAUGCCACAAGUAGGUAGGACUCAAAUCAUUAGGCCGAGGCCUUUUAGCACUUACGUUACAGACAGGUGAACCAUGAAGAUUUAAAACAAAUAAUCCAUUCACAAUGGGCGCAAAAGCCAUAAACAUAUCAUUCUUAGAGAUCACACAACCAUUGUUUUCACUCGCAAAUCAAUAACCAUCCUUCAUCAAGCAUGAAGGAGACAAAAUGUUUCGACUUAAGCUAGGAAUGAAAUAACAAUUAUUCAACUCCAUAAUAAAUCCUGACAGGAGGUGGAGUUGCAUCGUCCCGACGGUCAACGCAGCAACUUCUUGCAUUAUUGCCCACGCGGAAAUCAACUUCUCCUCUUUCCACACUUCUACUUCUUAUCAUUCCCUGCAUCGAAUUGCAAAUAUGAGCAACCGAUCUGGUAUCAAAUACCCAAGAAUUAAUAAUUAUCUAUAACAUUAACAACAAGCGUACCUGAGGUAGAAGUAUUCUUACUUCCACCAUUCUUCAACGAAGCUAGGUAUUGCUUGCAGUUUCUCUUCCAGUGACCAGGUUCGUGACAAUAAAAGCACUCUUUGUCUGGAGUAGGCCCAGCUUUAGCCUUGGGCGCUGGGUUUGGCUUAGACACUCCAGCCUUACCCUUCUUCUUCCAAAAAUUGCCCUUCUUAUUGAAGGUAGGCUUGUUCUGUACAGCCAUCACAUGGUUGGUACUAGCGCUUUUCUUAAUGUCUACCUCUGCUGUCUUGAGCAUACCAUAUAGUAUAUUCAGACCCUUCUCCGUCCCAUGCAUAUGGUAGUUCGAGAUGAAGUUCCCAUAGCUAGGCGGAAGAGAUGAAAGAAUGAAGUCAGUGGCCAACUCUUUGCCCAUUGGGAAGCCCAUCUUCUCCAAUCGCUGAGUGUAACCAACCAUCUUGAUUACAUUUGGUCCUACUGCUGCGCCUUCUGCUAGCUUGCACUCCAGAAAGGCUUUGGACACAUUGAACCUUUCAGUCCUAGCCUGUGUCUAGAACAUGUCCUUGAGCGCCACGAUCAUAUCGUGUGCCUCAUGAUUUGUUUCGAACUGCAUCUGCAGCUCGGGUUCCAUGCAAGCAAGCAUAAGGCAGCUUACCUCAAGAUUAGCAUCAAAUGCCUUCUUGUAAGCAGCCUUAACGGCAGCAGAUGAAUCAUCAGCAGGUACUGGUGGUAGUGGGGUGUCUAGAACAUCUUCCUUUUUAUCGGCCCUGAGAACAAUUCUCAGGUUACGGAUCCAAUCCGAGUAGUUUGUUCCAUUCAACUUGUCCUCUCAAGGACCGAACGCAAAGCAAAUGGUGUGGUGUUGCUAGGUGCCAUUUAAUCUACAACAAAAGUAAUGCAAAAUACACUAAGACAAACAUAUCCAUGAUAGAGCAAAUCACAUUAAACUAUGUUAACAGAAUCUACUCCCACUAAAAUCAAUAUCCCUCUAUUGAUACUUAGUGAUUCAGGAUCCACAACUAACAAGUCUACUAGUGAGCUUUAGCAUCACCGCUAGCAAACAAAGUAGAUCGGUAAGCAACUUUUCCUAAUCAUAUCACAUAUGACUCCUGUUGUUGGGUGACAUCUCCAUGUCUCGGCGCCCAACCUUUAUGCCCCAAGGUCCUUAAACGUUAAGUUAACCUUGUUAAGCAAACCAACCCUUAUGCAUGUAAGUGUGCGACACAAACCCGUCUAAUCAAGAAAAACUAGUGGCACCCUAAUUUCAUAGACCCACCACUAAUUGUACAAGACAUGGGACGGUGCAAGUUUUAGUUGGGAGGGCAUACUAACUUAAACUUUGUGAGGGAUCGUUCUACUUCUAACAUCACAGCAUGCAGAAAGUAAAACAUAAACAGAAUAGCAUUCACACAGUUGUGACACAGUAUGGCCCGUUUUCUUAUGGUGAUCUUCAUCUCCAUAGAACCUGUUCACCAUGGUGAUCUCCAUCUCCAUGUUCCAUGUGCGCCAUCCUCUUGGUGAUGAGUCCUCCAAGAACUAGAACAUGCUAUUACGCCUAAUAGCUAGUAAAAAGCUAGUAAUGAAGAUUACAUAGUUGGUUGGAUCAUCACAGAUUGGUACGCAGACCAUUAAAUACAUUAAGGUGACAACACAUAUGGCUCCUGCCGUGUUGCCGUACGCACGACACGCAGGUCACGAAUGAGUUACACACAUGCAUCACAUACACAAAGGGGCCAUACUGAUCACAAGAUACAUACAUCUUGCAAAACAGAGUUAAGCGUCCUAACGUUCCAAACUUUGGAGGCCCGAAACUCCAUCUUCCAAGACAAAUUUGGGAAAUCUAAUUUCGCCGAAAAUGGCGAAGCGGUCGAAUUUCAUGUGUAACUUUUUCUGUAGAUCAAUUUUUAUAUAAAAUUCGCCCCGAUCCGAGAUCGUAUCGAAAAGUUACGGCUGAUUUACCGAAGCAUACGCACACGGCAAAAUCCCGACCCCGGCAGUAGAUCCCAUCUACUAUUGCACAUCUCAUGUGCCUGGCGUAUGAACCUAGAUUUCGAUUCGACCAAUCACAUUGAUCUUCGCACACUGCAACUGGAAUUACGUGUAUCACCUAACUCCGAUGGUGGAAACCCGACCGGUAGGAGUAUGUCGUUACACUACCAUAGCAGCAAGAACAGGAAACCAGGACAGAGAUCAAAUUGAAAACUCGCAUAUCUCCAUAUGCACACAUCCCGAAUCCAAAACUAAACAGCUACGGCUCUGAUACCACUGUCGGGAUACGAGGUAGGCUACACUAGCGCAAAUCAAAAAUUUUCUACCGCGUAAACCAGGGAAACUGCCGUAUAAGGAUCACGGGAUUACCACUCGACGCACUACUAGUGCGGAAGAUGUAGAUUCACGUCGAUGCAGCGAAGUCGAUCAACGUAGUCGUACGUAGUCGAUCACGUCGACGUCCAACAGCUCCUCAGCAGCUCGUCCACGUGCAGCAAGAUCUCCCUCGUGCCGCGGCUUGUCGGCGGCUCGUCACGGCUCGUCGGCGGCUCGUCCAAGUGCUGCAGGCGCAACACCUCCAAGGUAUCCACACGUGCAGGGAGGAAGCGUCACAAGCCGGACUGCUAGAUCCGUGAGUUGCAACAGGCGUGGGAGGCGCGGCUGAUGAGUUUCGUCAAAAAGGUGUAAACCUUAGGGCGCCCCCACCCCUCUAUUUAUAGAGGUUCCUAACGGGCCUCUGGGUCCAAGGCCCAUUAGUACUUCUAAACCUAAUCCAACUCGGAUCACAUCCGAAUUGGGCUUCCAGCCCCUUAAGUGUGUGACCCUAUGGGUUCGGAUACGUAUAGACAUGGCCCGAGUACUCUUACUCGGCCCAAUAGUCGGUAGCGGCCUCUAGCAAGACGUGCCAACUCCUAUAUGCACACGAAGAUCAUAUCAGACGAACCAUCACAACAUUAUAUACAUGCUAUUCCCUUUGCCUCACAAUAUUUGGUCUAGCUUCAAGCCGACCGCUCUUUCUCGAUCCUAUGAUUCGGAAUCCCUUUGUAGGUUAACUCUUAACCGUACGUAGCAUGGCCAUGCAUUUUUGGAUCCGAUCACUCGAGGGGCCCAGAGAUAUCACUCUCAAUCAGAGAGGGGAAAAUCCCAUCUUGAUUAACCAUGUCUCAUAGCAUGCUUCUUGACAAACCCGAAAGCUACCUUUAUAACUACCCUGUUACGGCGUAGCGUUUGAUAGCCUCUAAGUAGGUCGAUCCACAUCUUGAAUACAUGCGACAAUCUCAGGUCUAAGGACAAAGCGUAUAUGAUGUUUAAAGAGAGAACUACUUCUCAUGUUGGGUCAGUCCUAGCACAUGUCUCCACAUGAACCCACAUUAUUAGUUCAACAUCUCCAUGUCCAUGACUUGUGAAACAUAGUCAUCAACUAAUACAUGUGCUAGUCUAAUAUUCAUGUGUGUCCUCACAUGAACUCCGACUAGGGACAACUUUAGAAUAACCAUACAAGUAAAGAGUUUCACACACAAUUCAUGUAAUUGCAAAUCAAUUCAAGUAGUCUUUAAUGGAUAUUCAAGGAACACAAAAUAAAUCAUGGAUACAAAUGGAAUAUCAUCAUCUCUAUGAUUGCCUCUAGGGCAUACCUCCAACAAUUUGCAGGGUCAUGCACCAUGCGUGCGGCGACCCAUCCAUCGGACAGCGCAUGGCAUUGCACAAGACGUACUGGGAGGAUAUGCAGUGGAAUGAGCCAGACAGGUACUACGCCCUCCUCGCUCUGCUAGUUGGUGUGGGGAACCUGGAGGCCUGCACCAUCAAAGGGAUUGUAGAUUUCUUCGCCGUCCCCCGGCCAUCCCUCCAAAAGCUUUCCCGCACCACACCGGGUGGGCAUGAUAUGAGGGCCUAUCUUUACGCCCUGAUGAUAUACAGGAACAACAGUGCAAUCAUGGACGAUGACAUUGCGAAGAGAUAAAUCUACCACGUCGAAUGCAAGGAUGGUUCGGCAGUGAGCGGGAGCACAAGCUCAAAGAAGCUGCGCAACGAUGCCUGUCAGGUGUGCCGCGAGGAGGCCGCCUACCUAGUCAAUAGAGUUACAUGGGGCGGGCAUGGUGAUCCGCUUUCACCGGCACCAGUUUGAGGCGACUUCCCUUGCAUUGGAGGCGACUGCGGCAAGGUUAAGGGCUGGGAACAAGCUACGCUUUAUUGCAACGAGGACUAUAGGAUACGCCAUGAAAUUGUAGCGUUCAAAAGGAGAAUGGAGAUCGAUAACUAAUUGUAGGAUUUCUUUUGCUUUUGCCUAAUGUUGUCCAUGACUCGUUGGCUGAACUUGUAGUGCUGGAACUAUGUUUGUGGUUAAUUUGGCUCAACUUGUAGUCACUACAAGGUUUUGUCUAUCCAAUGGAGUUGUAUUUUCGCAAUGUGUUUUUGUGUCUAAGCACACCUUACACCUCCCUACAUAUAGGUGUUAUGAUGCACAUAUAAAAAGAACCCACACUUGGGUACCUUCAUUUGUCCUUGGAUUUCAAUUGUGGGACCCACUACAUCCCGCUAGGUUGUGCCUCAAAUUUUUAGUACUAGUGCAAUGUUUCCUCCAUUCUUUUUUUCCUAAACCCUCAAAUAUAUCUCAGCCUCUACCCCACUUGCCCCCAAAACUGCGCUGGCUGCGUUAGGGGGGGCAACGGUUCCUCUCUGCCCAAGCGACUCCAUCCAUGGCAACUCCUCCUUCCAUGGCGACUCCUUCCAUGGCCGGCGAUGGAGAACCCAGCACACGACCAAGUACGGUCAGAGUCGAGGAAGCCGAUAUUGAAAACAAAUGUUACAGGUUCGCAUCCACCUUUAACGCCUUCUAGGUUAGGGCAGAAAAUUUCUACACAUUAAUUGCGUACAAUCGAUUUGAUGCUGCCUCAUUGGCGCAUGCUUUUAUAAAUCACAGAUCUGAUUACUACUGAUUAGUUUUUCGCAUAGCACUAGUAGUACUACAUCUUCAUUCAUUGAUGCAAGGGUUUUGAUAUCUAUGUGCACAUACAGAUCAGAGGAGUUGACAGGCUAGAUGGAUGUGGCAGGUAAUGGUACAGUGCCUGGGGGCAGAAGGACAAGAUGUGCGCCUGGUUAAGGUAAUAUUGAUAGCGCACAAUUAGACUUUGUCAGCUUGUGGGAUUACAAAGAUCAACUUCGAUAUGGUGCGUGGGACUACUACUACUACAAGAAGAGAAUAGGAAAUGCUGAUGCAUCUGUUCAGUCAAUUGGUUACCCCAAAGAUGUAGAGUGUAUGUUUCAGUACAUGGAUUCAUCUGAAGAAAGGAAACUAAGGUUGAUACUAUCAAAACAAGAAUUGGUUGGAGCUGUCAACAUUACACCCCUGAAACAACCAAGGGUGAAUGAGUCUGAUGAUGUUACUGAUGCUGAUACUAGUAAUGAUGAAUCACUUGAUGAAUACAAAGAUUGUCUUCAAGACCAAGACCUAGAUUGUGGUAUGUAUGCUGUUUGUACUACACUAUGCACAUGUGUCUAUAACUGUACAAUGUACUCACAUAGUUGUGUUGGUAACUUGCAGAUCUAUACGAUAACUACAGGGAAGAAAUAGUAAAAACAUACUCUAAAUGGUUAAGGCAGAAAGGCCUUAUGAGAGAUAUUUGUAAAUCCUUUUUCCUCUGAACUAAUUCUUAUUUUUGAUGAAAAUUGUACAAUCCUCUAAGUGCACUUGUUUUUUAUUUGUUCAGUGGCUUAUAAUAGAGGUCAAGCAAAGCUUACAGAAGUACGUGAUGAGAGCAAUAGUAGUAGCGCCACGCCACCAUCACAAUGGCCAGCACAUGCUAGGAAACCAAAGCAGACAACAGGUUCUAAAAGCUUCACACCUUCUGCAGUUUUUUAUGCUCUUAUUGUGCACGACUUAAUGUAAGUUUCUAUUUUUUGAUUGUAAGUAAGUGGCAAGAAAAUGGACCGAGGAUGCUUGAAAGGGCUAGCUGUGGUGGCCAAGAGAUCGAAGUCUGGCUCAUAGAAACUGAAAAUCAAAUUUUCCAAAAAUGUGGGUGGUCCCUGUGGAGAUAACAGACGUACCUUUGUGGAUGAGGUUGUUCUGUUUAUAAAGUAGAAGGCUCCAUUAAUUGGAGUUAGAAAUUGGAAAGAUGUGUGUCAGCAUGUCAAGGAUGAUAUCGUAGAAUCUGUAAUGGUAUGUCAAUGGCCACCUCAUCCUUCAUUAUAAUGUUACAUAUUAGUCUUGUUCCCUCUAUUUUCUUGGAAACAUAUAUUUUGAAUGUAGCAUACAUAACAAGUUUUCUUUCCCACUAGGAUCAUUGGGACCUUGAGACCACUGAGAGUCCGAACAAAAAGAUAUGGAAGGUUGCCAAUGAACGCUACAAAAGUUGGCGAUCUGUUUUGCAUUCUACAUACAAGGCAUACAACAAUUAUGAUGAGAGAAGGAGACAUAAGCCUGAAGACAUAGACAUUGUGAAGUGGCACUAUUUGAACAUGUACUUUGGAACUAAGGACUUCAAGGUACGCCCUCUUUUGUAAGUAAAAGAACACAAUCAUGAGUUCAACUUUUCAUCGCUAACCAUUACUUUACGGGAUGACUGUGUAGAGUAGGAGCAGCAUGAACUCUUUGAAUCGUAGCCAACUGAGAACAAAUCACUCGGGGGGUUCCAAACCUUUCUCGUAGUGGAGUUGGGAAAAGGUAAAGAUUUGUUUACUUAUUCUCAACUUUCAGUACAUUACACAAUGAUAUAUUAAUAGCGUUUAAUGUUGUAAUCAUAGAGAGAUCCAGUAACUGGCGAUGAGCCACCCCUUUUGGAACUUUGGAAGACUACUCAUACUAGGGAAGAAAGAUGGACAAAUCACCUAGCUGAAAGUAUUUAUGUGUGUACUGAGUGCUAAUUUGAUCAUAACAUUGAUUCGGCAUUACAAGCUAUUUUUUGGUAUGAAAACAUGACCAAAUUAAUGUUACAAUUAAUUGUUUCUUGCCAUCAGACAUGUACAUCUAGAAAAUUAUCUCAACACAAUCAGAUGAAGAAGACCAACAAGUCAUACUUCUGGACUUGCUAAGGAAGACCAAGUUUUCUAGGAAACGUACAGGGAAACAACAGGAGCCAAAUAUAGAAGGUCACGUGGCCAUGGUUACUUGUCGAAUCCAAAACGAAAGCAAGAAGCCCUUCAGGAGAGAAUGAUUCAGGAGAGAAUAGAGAGGCCCGAAGAACAAGAAUGUCAGUUACAGGAAAAAAUGCAAAAGCAUGAAGCUAAAAAGGAAGCAGAGAUAGAACAACUUAAAGUUGCACUUAGCCAAGAAUUGAUGGGGGAAGUUGCUAGAAUGAUCGCGCCUUAUCGUCAGGCUUUACUGCAAGAGGUAACCAGAAUAUAAUUUGUGCAUGUUGAUUUAUAUUGUGUUCUAAAUUUUCAUAAUGUCACUAAUGUCUAGCCUCCCCUCUUUUAAAAUCCGCAGCGUACCCCAGCAAACAACAAUAAUACAACUGAAGUUGAUGCUAGGACCACCGAGGAUAACAUUGAUGCAAGGCCAGUACUGGACAGCCAAGAAAUAAGGAACCAUGUAUCGACAAUAAUUGGUUGUGAUUGAAAAUAUAUAUACAUAUGUCGCUAAUCUCUUGCCUACCCGCUUUUAAAUUGUGCAGCAUACCCCUCAAACCAACAAUAAAACAACUGAUGAUGAAGCUGGGAGCACUGAGGAAAACCUUGCUGCAACACAAGUAGUGCAUAGUCAAGAAACAUCAAACCAGGUAACAAUAUCGAACAAGCAUUCCAAUCAUGAUGGUUUUUUGCAUUAAAUUUCAGCUAAAAUUGUUCCAAAAACUUUAUUAUGAUCCAGAAUGCUCCAAGAACGAUUGUCACAACUGAAAAAAGCACUUUGGCACCAACCAGAAAUGCUAAAACUGCCAACGUUGCAAAGAGUCUGUUCAAUGAGAAUCACGGUAAAGGUGUAGGAGCUGUUGCAGGAUCCAGAUUCAUUAGUACACAUCAGCUUAUAUCUGGUGCUAAAACUCGAGCAGGCAAAAAGAAAGUACAACAAGUACAAACUGGAAGUGUGCUUUCAAUAUUGCUGCAUAUUGAUUCCAAGACAAAGUAGCUUCAUAAGUUUUAAUUCACUUGUUUGUUUCUCUUUGCUUCAGCAGGCUAGUGAAGCUACGGAGGGGCAAUAAGACUCAAGGUUGCCUACAGGUUACAAGCAGAACUUCAAGCAAAGUUGAUCAUCAUGAAUGCUGGGAGUGAUCAAGAUUAUAGAUGUGUACGAAUAAUAUAGGUGUUCUACAUACUUUAUUAUUGGGAGUCAUGUGGAUGAAUGGACAAGAAUAUUUUCCGUUGUAUUAAAAAAUAUGACGACGACAUAUUUCCCGUUGCAAUAUCCAUUGAGCGUAUAACCACGACCCGUAUUGUGUUGCACUAUCCUGUACGCAUAUAACCACGACAUAUUUUGAUGCGAUAUGGUUGAUGCAUAUAACGACGGCACAUACCUCGUUGUGAUACCUCGUGAGCAUAUUACAACGCUUUCUCAUCAUUGCGAUAUCCAUUGAGCGUAUAACCAUGACCCGUAUUGUGUUGCAAUAUCCUGUAUGCAUAUAACCAUGAUAUAUUUUGUUGCGAUAUGGUUGAAGCAUAUAACGACAGCACAUACCUCGUUGCGAUACCUUGUAAGCAUAUUACAAUGCUUUCUCGUCGUUGCGAUAUAAUUUAAGCAUAUAACGAUGACCCAUAUUUCGUUGCGAUACCCUUUAAGCAUGUUGCAAUGCCAUAUUUUGUUGGAAUAUGGUUGACGCAUAUAGCCAUGACUAGUAUUUCGUUGAGAUAUCCUCUUAGCAUAUUGCAAUAGGAUAAGUCUUGUAUUGCAACAACAUUCUUGUGUUGCAUUAACGCUUGUUUGCAACAGCGCAAUGUCAUUGCAACAGCCACUAUAGCAACGACGCCUGCCGUUGCAAUUAACAAAAUUGCAACGACAAUGGACGUUGUAAUAUCCACUUAUUACUACGACACACAUCGUUGCAACAACUCACCCUUAUGCCCAAGGCUUCCUGUGUCAUUGUAAUACCCUAUUACAACGCAAGUUUACGCAACGACAUGAAUUUUAAGGCAACGACACAAAAUUAUCGCAAUAGCUCGCUAUUGCAAUGAAAUGACCCCUAUUGCAAUGAUUUCGUGCUGUGGUGCUAGUGACAAGACCUUGUAGUGAAUGAUUUGGCUGCUAGCGUCACUUGACCUACCCAACUCCCUCCGGGUUGGACGGUUGAGUGGGAUUCCUCCUCAGACGGCGAGGAUAGGGGUCAUUGAUGUCAUGAUCGGCUUCGUCAUGAUAUCGUGUAUCGACGUUUAGUUUCCGCAUGUUUUACUUCUUUGUUGUUUGAAACCGUGCAAACUCUGAUCUAAUAAAUUAUUGAUCUUUCUAUAAUAUGAACGGAAUGUUUUAAUCUCUGUAAGCACUAACCUUUGUGUGAGCAAUGCUUAUCGAUCCUGUAUAUGUGGUUUAUCAGAGGAAAUCCAACGGUCGACUAAGUUGACUUGUUUAAGGUGCUUGAUCGCGUGUUAGGUGACUUAAGUGCACUUUAGCCAGGUUAAUUUUAGGCCAUUCCGCCACAACAUGGAUACUUUUUCCUCUUGGUUGCAUCAACACCUUAUAGGUAACUCUGAGAUUCACCCACAGCUCGCUUGGUUAGCUAAGGGACCUUCUAGCAGAAUCGUGAAAUUCCAAGGCUACAAGAUAAAUGAUUAUACAUUUUACACGAGAGCCCAAGACCAAAAAAGCACGAACCAAAAUAGUGGUGUCCGCAUAGAUGUCAUUCACAGCACCGGUAGCAAGGACUCCUAUUAUGGUUUCAUAGAGGAGAUAUGGGAACUCGAAUACAGACCGCUGAACAUCCCUCUGUUUUGUUGCUAAUGGGUGAAGCUAACUGGCGUAACCAAAGAUCAGCAUGGAAUGACAAUAGUGGACCUGACCAAGACUGGAUACAAUGAUGAACCAUUCAUACUUGCCAAUGAUGUGCAUCAAAUUUUCUAUGUGAAGGACAUGUCUAGCAAACCAAAAAAAAUUCAGAAGAGCCAUGGAAGCCAAAGCGCCACAUAGUGCUUCUAGGUAAGAGAAAAAUCAUGGGAGUCAAAGAACAAAAUAGAGCAAUCAGAUCAUUAUGAUUAGUUUGAUGGCAUGCCUCCAUUCUCUAUUGAAGUUGACCCAAGCAUCAUGCCAAAGAAGAGGCUCCGUACUUACGCCAUGAUCAUGACCAAGGAACUUUCAUGAAGAAGUUUCUUAACGUUACAUUGUAAUGCACUAAAUAUGCUUCACCUUUAUGUAAAGUUACAUUGUAAAGUUCUAUGAUUUCAUGUACUACUUGAUACAAUUUUUAAUUUAAUGUAUCUAUGAUUUCAUGUGUGUUUAAAUUAGGUGAGGUGAAGAAUUAUUCAAGAUAUGUUUUUUGAUAUAUUUUUGCAUGUUUGAAAAAUAUAAAGUUUUUAUGUUUUUCUAUAACAAAGCCAGUUCAAAACAUAUAUUAAUUUGUAUGUUUAAAUUAGUUGAGGUAAAGAUUUAUUCGAUCAAUAUGAACAAUGUUAACCACAUACAUCAAUUGAAUUUUUCACACGUUGAAAUUAUUUAAUUGAAUAAUUUCUUGAUGAUAGUGAUGUAGUAAAAUAAUUAUUUUAUAAACUAAAAGAACUAGUAUAGAAUUAAUGACUCAUUCAAACUUAUUGUUAAUAUACUUGCUAAUUUAAUAUAGUUUUGCAUGUUCCAAAUAUAUAAAGUUCUUAUUUUUUCCUUCCUAAAAUCCAGUGAAAACAUAUAUAAAAUCUAUUUGCAAAAAACAGGCGAGAACUGAAAAAUGGAAAACGAAUCUUUUGUCCUAGAUGCAAAUUGCAUCUAGGACAAAAUGUCCCCCCUUUAGGCCCGGUUGCAAUUUGCAACUAGGAUAAAAGGGUAAUUUUCGCCUCCCACGCGAACGUACCCUUUUGUCCUGGUUGUAAAUUGCAACCGGGACUAAAGGGGGGGCCUUUUGUCCGGUUGCAAUUGGCACCCAGGACAAAAGGACCCUUUAGUCCAGGUUGCAAUUUGCAACCGGGAUAAAAAGGGUCGUAAAAGUAACAUUCAUCUUCUCCCCCCUCCACCCUUCAACACUUAGCGAAAUUUUCACCACUCUCCAAGAUCUACCGCGCCCGUCCGCCUCUGAUGCCGCCAGUCUCUCAUCCCCGCCCGUCCGCCUCCAUCGCCGGCCGCCGUGCUACUCAUCACCCGCCUCCAUCCCACCGUCGCCCAGCGCCUCGGCCGCUGUCGCCUGCGCCACGACUGCCGCCUCCUCCAUCGCCCGACCCGCCACCGCCUCCUCCGUCGCACCCUCUCGUCGCCGCCGCCUCCGGUGCGCCCCCUCAUUGUCACCUCCCUCUGCGCCGCCUCUGUGGUGAAACCGCCCAACUUAAGCUGGUUUAAGUGCACCUAAUCGCUGUCGGGACAACAAUUAUUCGAAACACACCUAAAACAGCAUAAGUCCAGUAGUCCGUCGAGUGUCCCUAGGACUCCUCGAAAGAUCCACGACGUGUCUCAUAGCCAUACACCAGGAUCGCUUCCUCGAUGGGAAGGCAUCAACAAACAUUACAUUUUUACAUACAUACCGGGGUACGAAUUAUUACAUACCAUAGUUUGAAACAAACUUCAUAGUGCAGGUUAGCGCGGUUCUAAGAGUUCAAAACAUGAACCAGUCUAGGUGAAAGAUAAACAUUUAAGUUUUAUUUCUAGGGUAUUUCGAGACUCGUAAAAUACCCUAGUUCUUCGGAGCUUCUUCCUCAGCGGACUCCUGUUGUGGCUCUGAAAUAGCAACGAGGGAUAACCCUGAGUAUAGGGUACUCAGCAAGACUAACCCGACUAACCAAUAUAAUAGCUUUUCUGGAAUUGCAUGAAAGCCUUUCAGUGUACUGGCUGACUCAUAGUUUUGCCAAAAGAGCUUACUAAAGUGAAACCUUAACUUUGUCUUUUACUUCAAUUGAGUUAUUACCUAUCCAAUCUAGAUAAUGAAAAAGAAAUACUUUUGCAAACAGUAGGAAAUUAAGUCAUACAACAAAUUAAUUGGAAAGACAUUGCAUUCAUGAGAUUACACUACGAUGCUUAACAGCGAUCUAGUGCAUUCAUAACCGAGAAUUGUGGCGAUCCGGAUCAAUUACAUCCUGUAGGAGAGCACCCUGAUCACCAGCUAUGUACAACUGUCCGGGUCGUACAUAACGACCUUUCGAUUAGCAUACCCAAAGAUUGGGAAUAAGACUACCCGAACCCAGGGAUGCACCCCCACAUGGGACCCCCUGUCUGGCCCGAUCUCCAUGUGAGUUUUUAGGCUAUGCCCCUGCCAAUCUCCAGCACGUCAAGCACGGGUACGAAAUAUUCCGGAUCAGAGAGUUUACUAAACUACCGGGCUUUACUGGUCCCAUACCCAGUAAGCAACCAGGUGACAUUCACUUGAUCAAAGGUUAAGACAACGAUCGGGCCUUAACCAAAUUAAUCUAGCAGACAGAACUAACAUCUCUAGCUUCUAUCGGAUUUCCAAAUUUCCAAGCUAACUUUCCAUAUCUAGCAUGUAUGACCCAACAAUUUACCUUAAGGUUCGGUAACCAAGUUACUUUCAGUAUCUAAGCAUUGCUAAAGCAUGGGUUAAUUACUAAUUAUUGAACAAGUGGCAAAGAUGUCCUUAAAACAAGGCAGGAUCAUGCACAAGAAUAGGUUUCAAUCAACUCCUAGACUUAAUGCAUUGAUAAAAGAAAUAACCAAUAAUUGAACACAUGAAAUAAUAACUCCAAAACAGAUAGGUAUAGAUGCACCGGGGUUUGCCUGGGAUCAACAAAUGUUAGUUCUUCGGAAAACCCCUUUAGUAAAAGAGGCACUUCAACAUUUCUCGGACUCUGUCAAUCUUCAGAUGAAUUCCACGAAUUCCACUUCAGAAGCUUCGAUGUCUAUGAUUUAGUACAUGCAGGAGUUAGAGACGCAAACUUUUGAAUACAUGACUAUACAACUUUCCUUCAUGAUAAAGUUGCAAGCCAACAAGUGACUAUACAACCUAUCUUCACAAUAAAGUUGCAAGCCAACACUAAUCUACCCAUAACAUCUAACCCACGAUUUUUUAAUCUCUUAACUAACCUGCCUUAAGCCCUUUCUUUUAUUUUAGAAAAGCAUUACAAAUAUUUUCUAAUCUCAAAAGUUAUUUCCUAUGAUUUAAUAAUAAUUUGUGAAUAAGAAAACAUUAUUCAAUAUUUUAUGCAUUUAAUAAAGGUUAAGCAUUUAUUUAAAUACCUUAAUGAAAAGGCAUUAAAUAAAUACCUAAAUUUUAUUAUUUUUCCUAGGGUAUAAAAAUUUGAAUGCAUAAAGGAAAAUAAAAUAAUCCUAACAAAAUUGGUCUCACUAAUUUUGGACACUCCUAGAAAUUUCUGUGAUUUAAACGGUGUAAACCGAAUUUUAAUGUUCUUUAUCUAUAAAAGGAAAACCUAAUGUUUAUCCAAAUAACCCCGGCCUAACCUUUCUCACUCGUACUAGGCCCGUUAAGCUGGCCCACCUACUCCCGGUCUCUACCUUAUUCUACUCGCCGGCCCAACGAGCGCCCAAACUCUAACGAGCCUCCUUACGACCGGCCUGCUCUCCGCACAGGCCAACAGCCCAACUUCCUCCUCCCUACCCAUGCCUGACGCAAGGGCCUUUUUUUUUUGGGGCCAGCCCACCCCGUUUCUUUCCCCCUUCACUUCCACCUGGGCCUCCAACCGACAAGCCCCUCUCCUCCUCUCAACUCCCCUGGCGCAUAGGCCAGAACAGGGGCGCGACAGGCAGGGGGCGGGGCUCGCCGACGGUGCCUCCCCGGCGGCGUGGCCGGGCUGGGGGCAUCCUGAAACCGGGGCGCACCCACGGGCGGUGGCGGCCCUCCAGGAGGCGGCCUGUGCCGAGCCCUCCACGGUGGCGGCGGCAAAGGCCGGCUGCCGGCCGGCGCAAAGCCCGACGGUGGCGCAAAAACGGCCUUCGGUGCCCCCCCCUAUGGACCCUAUUCGACUCAGCAAGCUCUGCAACCCAAGGAAUCGAGCAAAAGGGGCAUCACAGAGAGGCUCACCAAAGAACUAUGGUGGCGGCUGGCGGAUUAAAAUGGUGGCGAUUCGGAGCUUUGACGAUGAGGAAACAGAAAUCGGAGGGGCGUGGGCGUUGCGGUGGGGCUAGCGAAGCGUCUGGCGGGCGGAUUCGCGAAGAGAAGUGACGGAGCGAGGGUGUUGGCCAGCGGCGGCGUUGCUUUCCCGAGCUUUGGCUCGCAUGGCAGUAGAAAUGGCAAAGGGUUAAAUGGGAUGAGGGUGAGGUGGUAAAGAUACAUAACUUUUACCGUGCAUGUGUGCCACCUCGAUGACCUGCAGGCCUGCGUGGGCGCGGACGUGGUUGUUGCGCUGGUCGACGAGCAGAGGUGCCGGCGGCGGCACGGCUCUGUCCCCUAUUUCUUCUUUCUCUUCUUCGAAAUUCAGACCUCCACAUCGACCAAUUUCAAAUCCAAUCUCUCGAAGAUCCCUUCAGCAGUCUUGUAGAGUAAUCCAUGUACUUCAAUUGAUAGAUUGGCCGCUACCUGAAAUGAGCACCCUAACACCGAGAUUUUGAAGCUCAAAGUUUGACCAGAACCUUCUGUAACUGAACCUCGGUCAUUCAGUCUCGUCAAGGUCCAAAAUAGCAACUUCUUCCCUACUUUGAGCUCAAUUUAAAUUGCUUAAACUCCUUCCAUACAGCUUGAACCUUGCCUAUCCUUGUUCUACUACUGUUGGUGCUAGAAAUCGGCUGAUCGAAUUCCCAGCGUCGGACACACGACCCGGGAGAAUCUGCUUAGCUCCUGUUCGAGUGAUCACCCUGGUGCGGUUCGUGCAGCGUGCCAGCCAAUCUGACCUGUUGAUUGGCAAGGAAAGAAACGUGUCAGAUCCCAGAGGUUGCGAUCGGCUAAGGUUCCGAUCUCGAGAUAGCUUAUCAGUGAAUCGGCCGAUUUGCUGUAAUAAGGAAAUCGGCUAUAAUGCAGCCGAUUACCGGGCAGCGUUAAUAAAGAAGACUGCUGGAGUAAUCUAAACAAUGCUUAUAGUAACAACACUAGGAAUAGAUCUAAAUCGGCUAUGCGUAAAAUAAUAGAUUGAAUAACAAGGCACAGGAAAGCCGAAAGUUCCAAUUCCUAGCUGGAUAACUGGUGAUAAAACUAGAACUACAGGUAAAACCUAGAAUUCUAGUGGAUAUCGAUAACUGGUGAAUAAAUCUAAAUGAAACGACAGCGAUGCGCCCGAAGUUAAAGCUUAGAUAUUACUCGGUAAACGAAACUUACAGAAUCAGCCGGAGGUCAAGUUGAUGCAGCCUAGCCAACUCGUAUGAACUCGUGAAAAAGAAGAAAAGUAUUGGCGAAAUCGCCUGCUUGAAAGUAAGUGUGAGGAAAUAGUAGUUUGUUGUAUUGAUUUGAUGAUGAUUACAGAUCUACAAGGGUGGCUAUUUAUAGCCUGUUACAAAUGACUUCUUAACCGACUAGAACUCUAUCUCUAAUUUUAAACAAAAAAUGAAUAUUUACAAGUACGACUCGUACUGGGUCAAUCAUCAUGCUGUCAUGGGCUGACUCCCUUUUUACCUUCAUAAUCCACUUCAAGCCCACACCGGCCCAAUUCCUCCAGCCUCCUAAUCGGCCGAUUUCUACCAACUCCAUCGGCAAGGGACAGCCGAUUACGGCCCACAUGUCGGGGGUUCUGACUACUCCGACCCUGGGACCUAAGGUCGGGCGAGGUGGAGUCCCUCCCUUAGAGGGUCGGGCGCAUCCGACCCCAGGACUCAGGGGUCGGGCGAGGCGGAGUUGCACCCUUAAAGGGCAAUUGGCCAAUCCUUGACUGUAGCACCAAUCGGCCGAUUUCCAACCGUGACCUCUGUGUCUUGCCGCAUCUCCUGAGUUCUUCCUUUCCUGACGCCGAUUUCAUACGUGUCAAAAUAUGGCGUCAACAACUACUAACAAAGAUUCCAUUUUGCGCAUGAACUCAUAUACCUUUUACAUUGGAUUUUUCUUAAAUUUGCUCCAAACAUUGCUAAUCAAUGCCGUUUUUCAGACAACAUUAUUUCGGCAAGAAGCCUGAAAUCUGUGCAUUUGCUGAAUUUUGGGCUUCGCUUUAAAUUCGAACCUUCCACUUUCUCUGGCCAACAACAUUUCAUUUACCUUCUCUAUAGUCCAUAUUUCACUAAUGUCCAAAAACAUCUGCUCACUUACAAGAACAAUUCUCCAGAAAUUGGCUCCAAAGUUGUGUACUCAAUAUUAAUUUCAGAGUUACGCGUUUUCGGAUGACUAAGUGACUUUGUUGAUUCCAUAUUCGAUUGUAUUUAUGAGAGCUUUAUAACUUGAUUUAGACUUCAGAUUCAUUCCUUUGAGUUCUGAAUACUCUCAAGACUCUAUUUCCUAUUUUUGCCAAAUUUAUCCAAAUUUGAAACUCCAAAUUGCAAAUUUGGUUGAACUCGGCUCAAAUUCGAUUUUGGCUCAAAUUACCUUCCUUUAAUCCAACUUCACCAUUAGCUUCUUAAUGUGAUACUUAAGUUGUCAUUAACACUGGGUGUUACAGCCUCCUUGUCGCCCACCUCCGUCCCCGCCGCCUCCGUGCCCGCCAUCGCCCGCCGCUCUAGCCGCCGUUGCCUGCCGCCCUGGCCUACCGCCACCUCCUCCGUCGCGCCCCCUCAUUGCCACCUCCCUCUGCGCUGCCUCCUCAUCGCCGCCUCUCCAUCGCCACCUCCGUCGUCUGUGCCAGCUCCGACCCCGCUGCCACCGGCAUGCGCCGCCCCGACCUCCUCGUCUUCUGCAUUGCCACUCCAUCGCCCCGUCCGCCGUAGCUCGCCGCCAAGCCUCUGCCACCUGCCACCCCGGUGACGUGCGGCGCCACCCCCAUCGCGACCCCCGGCCCUCUCCACACGUACAAUGGGGCCCUUGCUGACGCUAGGGCCCUUUUUUAUUUUUUUAGUUAGAAAAUCAGUAUGAUUAGUACAAAAUCAGUAGGAAAUUACUAUUAUUAGAUGAAAAUCAGUAGGAAAUUACAAUAAUUUAGUUCAGAUGCUUAGUAUAAUUUUGUAUACAUUUUGUAUAACUUUGAGAAAUUACUACCUUUUAUUAUAAAUGAUUCGAAAAUUAGUAGAAAUUUGUAGCAAUGCUUAAGAUUUAUUCAGGAUAAGUUCUUAGUAUGAUUUUGUACACAUUUAGUAUAAUUUUUAGUACAUUAAUAUUAUUUAGUACAAAUGCUUCAAAAAUUAGUAAAAAUUAGUAGAAAUUUGGUAGAAAUUCUUAGAAAUCAGUAGAAGUUUGUAGAAAUUUGGUAGACAUUCUUAGAAAUCAUUAGAAAUUUGUAGAUACACUUCAAAUUUGGUACAAAUUCUUAGAAAUUAGUAGAAAUUUGAAGAAACACUUCAAAUUUGGUAGAAUUGCUUAAAAUUAGUAGGAAUUAGUAGAAAUUUGGUAGAAAUUCUUAGAAAUUAGUAGAAACACUUCAUGUAGGAUUCGUUCAAGACAUUUCAUGUAAGUUUCAUUCAAGACUUUCAUGUAACUUUCUUGUAAGUUUUCAUGUAAGUUUCAUUAAAGACAUUUCAUGUAUGUUUCAUUCAAGAUAUUCAUGUAAAUUUCUUGUAGGUUUUCAUGUAAGUUUCAUUAAAGACAUUUUAUGUAAGUUUCAUUCAAGACAUUCAUGUAAAUUUCUUGUAAGUUUCAUGUAAGUUUCAUUUCGUGUAUGGUUUCAUGUGUAGAUUUCAAUCAGUUUGUUUUUUUUUCAUGGUUGUUCUAUGAUUUCAUGUAUAUACCUUAACGUACAUGUAACUAUGAUUUCAUGUGUGUUUAACGUAGUUGAGAUGGCAGACGACAAGACCGCAAGCUAUCUAAUGGAGCAGAUUAUUGCUGAUGGUAGUGGCUCCAACCUUCCCGUAACGUACAUCGAUAAAGAGGGUACCUAGGCGAACAUGUUCCUCAACAUGUCUAGCGAUGGCAAUGAAGAGCCUCAGCCCUAGCAAAACCUUAUCGUGAUGGAAGGUUCCAGCGAGGUAUAUAUCAUUUCCAUUGUUUUACCCCAUCUAUAAUGUCUUAUUCAUUAUUAUUAUAUACUAAUUAACGAAUCUUGAACUGUUAGCCCUCUGGAUCGAUGAACCGUCAUAAGCCCCGAGGCCGUACAAAGGUGAUGGAUGGAGGGCUUAUCAUCAUGGAAGUCACAGAAGAGGGCAAGCCGGUUGCUCCCGAAAACAUGGCAAAAAAGUACGUGAGCCAGAUCGAGGCAAUCGUAAGGGACAACGUGCCCAUCAACAUCAUGGAAUGGAGGGGUGAAAGUACUAAUGCAUACGCGCUCUCGGAUACAGAAAAGGAAAUGUUGUGGUUAGAUGUUAAGAAACAUUUCACAUUUUCCCGAAGGAUGUAAUGAAGAUUAUGUGAAAUCGUGGAUGCUGAAGAAGAUGGCCACACAAGAAGGGCUGAUGUCCACAAUUCAAUGAGUGGUGAGGGACCACUGGGAGUCAUUUGUUGAAUACAAGACGAGCGAAACGGUGCGAACAAGGUUCGCACCAACUUUGUAAAUGCUGGCAAGAAGGAGUACCAUCAUUGUCUAGGGCGAGGUGGUUACAACACUACAAUUUCUAGAUGGCGCAAGAUGGAACAAGACCUGAUUGAUUGGGGUAUCCUACCAGCAACUCUUGAAUAUCCUGAUCGAUCGAAAAAUUGGUAUUACGCUCAUGGAGGCAACAUGAGCCAAGAGGAUGGGACACUGAUCUUCAAUGAGACAAUAUGUCAGAAGGCCAAAAGGCUUAUCAAGAACAUUGAAGAUGACACGGCUGGGAGUUGAAGGUGGACCGAGAGAAUAAUGAGCUAACAUUGGCCCAAGAAUCCCGAGCACCUAGGAUAUUGCCGAGGGUACGGGGUCAUUCUGUGGAAGUUCGCUUUUCGAGGCGACAUGUACUCAUACAGAAGCCGCAAGCGAAGAAAGGAAUAGCAAGAGGAGAGCUGGCGGCGCAUGUUAGAAUCCAAAGUGCAUUCACAUGAAGUAAGAAUGCAGGAGGAAAUCAAUCAUCGAGUGGCCCUAGCAGUUGCGAAGUUGGCCCAAUCUAGAGCACUACCGGAUCCAAACGUUAGAUGAGCAACGGUUCUUUGUGGCUGUGAUCACGCAACGCACCUCAUGUGAAUGGCAUAAACUGGUCGGCAACGUCACCAUUAAGGUAUACUUAUACAUAAUAAUUAUGCAAUCUUCUCAAUCCAUCCACGCCUCGGGAGUUUAAUAACUUCUUUAUUUCUACUAUAUGUACAAGUGGCAUACGAGAGUGCCUUACCAAUCCUGCCAGGGUAGACAAGCGAUGCCAUGGAGGUUCUACCUGGCUACGCUAGCGUCAGCCUAGAGCUGCUCGUUGAUAGCCAAUAUGAAGGCCUAGAGCUCGACCUCCCGGGAGGCGAUAGGGAAAGGACACUAGGAGAUGCGCUUCACGGGAUCAUUCUAUGGUGCAAAUGUUACAUCAUCAUCCCCGGCAUGGAGGCAUCAUUGCUCCCCGUAGAUCCCCAGCAGCGACCAUCUCCUCAAAGCUCAAGAUCGUCAUCUCCAACACGGCCUUCUCCAGGACCGUCAUCUCCACCACAACUUGCUCCAGAACCAUCAUCUCCAGCACAACCAGCUCCAGGACUGUCGUCACCACCGGGACCGUCUCUUCCUGCUCGAUCACGGUCUCCAUCUCCAGCACAUCCUAGUGGUGCGAGCGACGAUGACAAUAACACCCCUUCCCAAUCACCAUCUCCAGGACUAAGAGCUGCAUCGAGCAAGGAACCUGUAGCAACACUUAAGAAGUCGCAACCACCGCCUCCCAAGCCAAGACAGAGAAAGAAGAAAACAAACGAGCCUGAAUUGACUCCUGACAAAUGUAGGGAGGAGAAAAUGCAUGAGGAUUGCUGGCCCAAACCAAAGCAGAAUGCAGGGAGCGGUUCAAGAAAAUGGCCGAAGAAAGAAAAGCAAAGGCGAUGGAGCCACCGCCAGUAGAUUGAAGACAAUUAAAUUUUUUUAUAAAGAUGUCAGAAGAAGCCAAGAAGAUGCUGCCACCUUAAACUACGAUCGGGUGUUAGUCAAGGCUGAUGAGAGGAAAAAAUGGAAAGGAAAGUCGUCUUCAAGGGGUACUAUCCUCCACCUUAGACAUCUACCGAAAAAGACUCUCAAAAGAAAGCAUCAAUGCUAGCAAUGCCCUUGGAUCAAUAAGACCAAGUAGUGAAAUUCAUACAAGAAACAGGAAUGUCCUUUUCUGAAUGUCUAGGGCAAAGUGAGCCACCAGCUGCAUAGCCAGUUGAACCGAAAUGGACCUUUUGAGCUAGGCAAGUCUCUGGUAAGGCCUGAGUUGAUAUGGAAACUAUCAACAAAGAUGUACAAAUUCCAUGAAUGGUACAUCAAGCAGUCCAUCGUUGACAGGGAAAUAUUCGACCUUAAGGUCAAACCAAUAGCCUGGUUGACGUCUCUCUCAUCAGCGCUUGGGCUCUGCAAGUGUUCGUUUAUCUAUGUGUAAAUUUUGGCUCAUAUCAUUAUUUUUUGUGCAUGCAUCGCCCUGCUAACUUCGUCUUCCAUUUUAUGUAGGAUGCUAAUUCAGAUGUGCUGACGAGAAGUGUACUUCCAUGUUGGCUUCAUGGAUCCAUCCCUAGUUAACCAACACAAGAUAUGGGAUUUUCCAGAGAAAACGUUGAUGGAAGUAUACAAUUUCCUGGACAAACAAAAUUACAGCAAGGAAUACAUCCUACUUCUAUACAACUUCAAGUAAGUGUGUGUAUACCAUCUAUUUUUAUUUUCUUUUUCCUUACCUGAUUAAUGUUAGUUAGCUCUAAUAUGAACAAUUACGUACGCAGUUUCCACUGGAUCCUCCUAAUAAUUGAGCCUGAUAGAAGCCACAUCACUGUCUUCGAUUCAUUGAGGAAACCACCGAAGGAGUACCAAGAUGUUCAAGACAUGCUAAACUUAAUAAUUCUGGACUUUAUCUCUGUGCAAAAGUUUGUUUCCUAAAUUUUCACCUAACACUGUAUCAUUCAUUAACACAAAGGUCCAUUCAAAGAAAAACUUACAUGGAACACAAACUUCCUGGCAUGUAUGAAGUUUGCAUAUUUUGUACAUUAUAUAGCAUGAAUAUUUCAUAACUUGUUUUUCCCCACUGUAGUGCUUAAGACAGGAACUCAAAAAUAAUCUAUGUGGCUACUAUGUCUGUGAGCACAUGCAUAGUUUUUUGGGACACAAGGUACUAAAGAUGACGCCGCACAACUAUAACGUACGUAAAAGAAAACUAUUAAUAGUUAAAUAUUUUCUAGCUCCUUAUAUUUAAUUGUUCGUGUAACAUUCACAUAUUUCCAGAUUACAGAUGCAUAAUAUUCAACAAAAACUCUUGGAGAAGGAAAGAAUAAUGGCAAUAUAUGAAGGUCUCAUGGGAUUCCUGGUGGACGAGGGGGUACAUCAACAAGGAGAAUUUUAUUACAAUGGACGAAAAUUAGACGCACUGAGCAACACCACGACGGGAAGAUCCAAGGAAUGACUGAGGCAAAUUUUUGUAUAUAUAUAUAUACUAAUUGUAUAAAUACUAUGCUAAGAUUUGUAUAGUAUGCUAAGAAUUGUAUAUAUACUAAGAAUUGUAUAUAUAGUAAUUGUAUAAAUACUAGUUUGAUUUCAUAAUAAAAAAAGUCUUAACUAAACUAAAGGGUACGUGAUGCAUGAAAUUACAGGUGCCUGCCUGCAUGGCGCCUGUAAUUUCAUGCAUGCACUUUAGUCCCGGUAGAAAAAACCAACCGGGACUAAAGGGAGCACCCUUUACUCCCGGUUGGUAAAACCAAUGAGGACUAAAGGGGCCUGUCCCGCGCCUGGCGUGGCAGCCCCUUUAGUCCUGGUUGGUUUUACCAACCAGGAUUAAAGGGUGUCUUUAGUCCCAGUUGAGUGACCCGAGACUAAAGACCCCCCAUUCGUCUUGAUUGCUUUAUCCCGGAUGGAUUUUCGGGAAAUUUUAUCCCUACCAACCAGGACUAAAGGUGAGUUUUCUACCGGUGCCUGUUCUAUCUCACUCAUUUGUCCUGUAGCUACAAGCUAAGGCCCCAUGUCAUCUAUGGCUUCUGUCCUGUAGCUACUAGCUAAGCCCCCGUAUCAUCCAUGGCUUCUGGUGCCUCCACCACACUGAAGAUGGCCUCUAUCGCCCCUUGCAUCCUGCUGGUCCUGCUGUCCAAUGGCCACCCUACGAUGGUGGCCGUUGAUUGUGUUGCGGUUUGCAAAGACCCGUGCCAGAGCUUUUCUAACGGGUUCUGCGCGGGUGGAGCCACUGGCGGUUGCACAACUACGGCAGCAGCUACAGCAUGCCGCAAUUUGGCGUUCUCGCAGUGUGCGAACAACUGCUUCAUAGUUUGCACUGCCGAGAUCAUCACGCCUUGCACUUGAAGAUGCAUUUGUGUUCCUACUUCCAUGUUAUUGUUACUGCAGAAUAAUAUGGAUAAAUACGUGCAAGCAGGCCUGCCGUCCGCGGGAGGAGGUACGCAAGCACGCAUGAUGAGCCACUGUUGUUUUUCCAUUUUAUCAUUUACUUAUUGAAGGCAAUGUACGUGCCUAUCUCCUGUGUGGUUGAGCAUGUCAUGUUGGAAUUCUGUCCAAAGUUUUACAUACCAUCUUGUAUUGUUGUGUAUGCGUAUCAAUAUAAUUUAUGAACUAUUUUCCUUUACCAUAGACAUUUCUAUGUUUAUUUGCAAGCACUACUAGAGAACUGACUUUAGAUCCCACCCCCUUUAGUCUCGGUUUAAUUUCGGACCAGGAGAAAACGGGGUGCGCCACGGUAGGCUAGAAUGGGGUGCACCUUUACUCUCUAUUCUUUUUUUGCAACCGGGACUACAGGCCACCCUUUAGUCUCAGUUAAAACGGCUAGUUAUUGGGCACCGACGGCGUCACCCUUUACCCCCGGUUGGAGCCACCAACUAGGACAAAAGAUCCAACCUUUUGUCCCGGUUGGAAAAUCCAACCGGGAUAACAGGUUUACUCCCAGUUGGUAAUUCCAACCGGGACAAAAGGUUGGAGCUUUUGUCCCGGUUGGUGUUACGAACCGGGAGUAAACACCAACCGGGAGUAAAGCUCUAAUCUUUUGUUCCAGUUGGAUUUACCAACCGGGGUAAAAUCUUAUCUACAAGAGGCCUUUCUUCCUCCUCCACUCCUCCAGCCCGAGCCACUCCACUCCACAAAGACAGAGAACCUCAUCCUCUCCAUGGCGCCGAAGCAAGCCUAGGGGAGGUGCUGCUGAAAUUUUUUUUCCUUAUUUCCGUGGGGAUUUCAUUCAUCCAAAGUGUUGUGAAGGUUAGCUACUUCAUGCUCCGUUCAUUUAUUGUUGUUAAGCUUUGUUUUAUACUUUAAAGAGGGAGAAAAAUGAGUUUGUUUAUUGUUAAGCAUGUAGAGGAUUUGUAUUUAUACAUGUUUUUGAGCUACAAUGUGAUGGAUAGUUUGAAUGUGAGGGAGAAUGGACAGUAAAUGUGAGGUAGAAUUGAGAUUAUUUCAAUUUUAUGUAUUAGGGAAAAAUUAGAGCAAAUGUGUUUUUAAUACUUAUAAAUUAGCCAUAUAAAUUGUAGGUGUAAUUUCAUACUUUAGUACUUUUCAAAUAGAGGUAUGCAAUUUGCCAUUUUUAGAAUAAGUACAUUAUGUGGGAAAUAUUGAAUUUUUUAAUAGUUUAGUUAUUUCUAAAUUAAAUAUGAGCUAAAUAAUUUGUGUAUUUCUAUGUAAACUUUCAGCAAUAUUUGAGUUUGUCGUAGUGUAUCAUGUUGUUUGCUUCUGAAAUUUUAAUUUGUGUAUUUCUAUCUAAAAUUUUAGCAAUGUGAUGGAUAGUUUUAUUGUAAUACAUUUUAUUGAUGGCUUGCGUAAUACGAUGCAGAUGGACCAGCAAUGGAUGUAUAACGCGGACAGGCAGAGCAAGGUGUUUAUUGCUGGCAUGAAUAAUUUUCUUGAAGUGGCCAAAGCGAACAAACCAGGGAACGGGUUCAUAUCUUGUCCAUGUGCCCAAUGCAGUAACCAGAAGUGCUAUUCAAAGGCUUCCUAGGGGACUAUUCAUAGCCACUUGUUUAGAUACGGUUUCACGCCUAACUAUUUGGUUUGGACCCGUCACGGUGAAAGAGGGGUUGUAAUGGAAGAUGGUGAAGAGGAGGAGGAUGAUGACAACAUUCCGAACUGCGCUACAGUCUAAUCUUUUGUAGAUACUACUGUGGCGGAUCCACUUCGGAUCUACUGGGUUAAACAUGAUUUAGCCGCCUGAUAUGCGACGCUCAUGCCUAAGCUGAGUAAACACGAAGUGCCAUCGGAUUUUACUCCGAUUUAACCACUUGAACAGGACCGGUUUAGCAGACUCACACGAAGGUGAGCGGUUCCAGAGAGUACAACGAGUCCACCAAGUUAACAAAUUAACCACUGGAUUUAGUUACGAAAAGGACGUCAGAGUUUUACAAGAUUUCGGAAAACAACAGAAAGUAAAACACUAGCAGAAGCAUUCGUCGGGGUCGGAUGUCCUGGUGAGGCCGGCUGGGACAUCACUGAUCCCUCUCCUCGCCGUCCGAGGAGGGAUCCCACUCGACCGUCCAGCCCGGCGGGAGCUGGGGCAGCCAAGCGCCAGCAAGAGAGGGGUCGGGAGCAGCAGCUUCACCUGAAAAACAGGAGCCACAACAAGGCUGAGCUACUAAGCUCAACAAGACUUAACCGAUAGGAGUAAAACUACUCCUCCUAGACAUGCAGGGCUUUUUUGGCUGAGGGGUUUGGUUGCCGAAAGCUCUAAUUGAAAACCCUAUUUUCAAGUUUUAGCUCCGGUUCUAGGUUCAUUUACCAGUCUAGGUUUUGCAACCUAUUCUAAGCAAUCGUGGAACCAAACAAGAUGUGUAGAUAUAUCAACAAACAUGUCAUCAUCAGAUUCCUCAUUUACUCAGGGUGACAUAGCGAUCAAGCAAUCUCAAACUGUGAGAGGCAGACGAAUCGAUUCGAGUUCUUUAACCAUGCAUGGUGAACCUAGCCUCAUGACAUCCACGUACCCGGAGGUCGCUUCCUGUGUCGGCCUUCCCCAUCAAUCCCCUAACCCGUGUCGGGCCUAUUUCCUUUGGUGCAAGGUUCCACAGACCCGGCCUCUGCCGUUCUGGGGCCACGCAUGCCACCACGUGCGACAUCCAGCAGGGGAAACUCCGUUCCAAGAAUAAUGGGGCGACCGCUCACGUCUAGGUUCAAUCCGGUACUAGGCUUCCUCAUCCCAUACUAAGUAUGAGGCUAGUACUUUCAAACACUUGAUCACGAACACCACCACUGUCGGACCUUAGCAAGUUUUUCAUAGACAGACGGGGCAACCAUCCGUCCACCAAAGAGUUACCCAAACCCUGCCCCAUCCAUCGUCCUUAUAGUUGUAACAGAAAGGUAGACAUCCAACUCCUACAACUCGCGAGUGACAGGGAAUCACUCGACUUUUACCGUCUCCUAGUUAAGCAAUGCAACUACUCGGUCUAACAGCUAGUGCUCACAUCAUGGGGAUAACUAAGCCAUGUGUCUAGGGUUUCAAACAACUCCUAUACGUAAAUGCACAAACAUAUUACAGAAGGCAUGCGCAAGUUUGGUAAAACACACAGGGUUUUCAUGCAACUGGGGCUUGCCUUCGAGCAAGGAGGAAGAGAACUGCUCGAUUUCUAGGACGGCUUCGGCUUCAGCGGGCAAGAACUCAGCUACAGCUUCAUCUUCUGGCGCCGGGUGCAGCUCGUAGAAGCUGUCGGCGAGGCGCAGCUCUACACGAAUGCAAUGCAAGAGUUAGCAUAGAUGGUUAUUUCAACAGCAACACUUGCUCGCCUGAGCCCAGAAACUCGCGACAAAGAGCAGGGGGGUUGGGGAGGUUCAAGAGAGCGGGUGAGGAUCAAGAGGCAAGGGUCGGAAAGGAAACUUAGGAUCUGAUCCUUGAACUAGAGGAUGCGGUAUACUAGGGAUCCUCAGACGCAAGCGCUGAAGGGUUCCUAAGUUUUUGCACAUACACCCUCGGGUUGAAGAAAAGAUCACAGCCGAGCCCUUGGGCAAGGCGGAUAAGGGUCGGCGGGACAGAUAGGGUCGGGCGAGACGGAACCGGGGUCGGGCGGAUAAGAGGGGUCGGGCGAAGCGGACUGGGGUCGGUAGCUUACCUUCUUCCUGAAAGGAAGGCUUGGGGUCGGGAAGAGGCAGACUUGGGCGGAGGGACUAAAGCUUUGAACACGGCUAAGACUGGCAGUGCUCCGGCGGCGGCGGUGCUUCUUGCAGAUCACAAGAGAGCUUUUGCGCAGCACGGAGGAGCAAGCUGCUGGGUGACUUGGGGAAACUGAGGGGAGCUGAGGGGAGGGUUCCUCAAGAACAUAUGUCACUUUAGUAUUAGGCAAGGAUGUGAUUAUAUGAUUAUAUGGACUGAUACCGGUUAAAAGAUCAUUAUCUAAUCAACCAUUCACGUCGCCCAUAGUGUAGGCAACAGGCCAUUCUAUUGCGAUCCUCUGUCGCCUAUCGCUUCCCUUGAGAAUUUGAAGUCAGAAAUUCUUUUGUUUCAAUUUUGCUAGGUCCACUAGUUUUCUUAAAUCAGAAUCAAGUUGAAACCAGAAGAGCCUUGUUAGCUUGUUUGAUCUAUACUUCGUUGUAGCAAAUGUAAAAUGACAACUCAUAUAAUGGUUGUUUCAUAUUCGAUCUGCAAGUCUUCUUCUCAUUCACACGAUGGAUGGCCAUAGGCACAAAGAGAAUCGAAGUAGUAGACCAUAAUCACUAUAGUAAAAGCUUAAAAUCUCAAAAUAUGUCAUCAUUUAUUUUUCAUUAUGUUAUCCAUAGAACUAUAGUAUGAGUUAGAAUAUUGCAUGGACAUCAGAUCAGCUACAACAUUUCCUAGCUUCGCCCUUCGCCGCCCCUGCAGCAGCUAGCCCAAUCCAGGAAAUGUAUUUCCCAGGUGGGGGUGAGCAGACCCUGGAAAUAAGCUGGGGACGGACCAGCACGUCAACCGUCUCUGAAAAUAGCCCAUUUCAGAGGUGGGCAACUCCAUGGUCCGUCCUAGCAGAUUGAAUUACAGGAGCAGACGACACGAAGCAUCACCCUGCUGCUCAACCAAAUUUUGUAUGGACAACGCGCAAAUGAAAAGGCAAGCGGAAAGCAUAAGGUCCAUUCUGCUCCGCACAUAUAUCUUAUCUCAACCACAGCUUUCCAUGUCAUCUCCUUAGAGAAACUCCGACAGAUUGAUUUUCCACAUUCCCCUUUAUCCUCUUAUAGGGCAUUCCCUUUCACGAUUUCUGAAUUUUGAAGACUAGUGGGGCAAGAAAUUUUGUAUAGUAACAAAGAUAAUCUCAGCCCCACUUGCUACACAUACAUGCACGGUAAAUAGAAAGGGUUAUUUUCUAUGUCAAAGGCAUGCUCAGCUUCAAAGUCGUUCUGUUGUUAGCAUCGUUGUGUUGUUUCUGCUAACGUGCAGGAGGAAGCGAAAACACAGAGUAGAAAGAGGAUGAGAAAUUAAAGAAGACAAUGAAGCUCACGUUCACGUCUACAUGAGGGAGCUCUCACACAAGCAAGUCCAUUCAUCCUCUGUCUCCAUGCUGUUGAUGAUGACAUGUCACAUGUCCUUUGCCUUGACGUCGGCGGCAGGCCGGCAGCCCAAUGAACCCAUGACGAACAGCAUGAGCAUGACCAGCUAACUUCAUUGCUGAGUACGACAUGUGGUUAUCCUUGCUAUAACUAAUGUUGGUCAGAAGAAGAAGCUGCUAUAAAGUUGUUCUGAAGACGCUGAGUUCUAGGCGUACGCAAGCCCCGGUUGAUUGCCUGCGAAGUUUGGAUCCUUCGUUUCCAGGAUUAAGCUGUAAAUCUCCGAUAGACUCUCUUUAUAUCUCUUUAUGUGAUACUGUUACUGUUAUUCACUGAUGAUGUGACUAUAUGUAUGAAACUUGAUCAUGUCAUACAUACAGUUAGCACUUGGUUUUGCUGUUCUAAAAUCAGAUGUGACACCUAUGAACCCAUGACGAACAGCAUGAGCGUAACCAGCUAACUUCAUUGCUGCUGCCUUUCGUAGAUGUUGGUGAACAUGACGUGUCUUUCAUCUCCACGAUGGCGACGGAUCCAAAGAUCGAAGAACAUGCAUCAACGCGAUCCGUAUGGCGUGUUUUCUGGUAUUUCCACCCCAUGAUGUAACGCCGACCGGGUUCCAUACGAGGCCUACGGCCAGUCUGUUCACUUUCAUCAUGUGCUCCGAUGAGAGUUCAUCACCGUGAUAAAAGACGGAGACGAGGGCACACAGUCGUAGCUGCAAGUAAGGCCAACAGGCUGAAGGCCAUGGCUUUACAGCCAGCAGUCCACCCUUGCAUGCACUCACGGACUAUUACCGAACUAGCAAUUGGUACUUUGACGCGCUACAUGGACCCUUACAAAAUUAAAAAAAUGAACGUCAACAAGCAAAUGAAACUGCAUGAACUGAAGUAGGGAAAUGAAGACCACGUACAGUUCUUAUUGAAGCUGAAAUGUAUGUCAUAAAAGUAUUAUUGUUAGAUUGAAGUCAAUUUAAAUAUUUAAACGAGUAACGAGGGCUCGGAUUAGUAGAAGGUGUUAGUAAGGCCCUCCAAUAGACCACUCAAUGAUUUUUAGAUCCAACUGUUUAUAUAGUAAGUUCGGAUAUUUAAUUAAUAAAUUGAAGUUGCCUUAAGAUAUGCAUAGUAAAUCACAAGACCAAAGUGGAAUAACCAUUAGACAACUAAUAAAACCAUCAUUAAGUUUUUGUCUACUUUUAGCAAUAUUGCUUAGGUUUUCUAUUUCGUCUAAAUAUAUCUUAAGCGGCUCAUAUGUCCAAAUUACCCACACAGUGAAUAAAUGUCGUUCCAGUUCAAGGAUUCAUGUGGAGUUGUCACACACUAGUGUGAACCCAUCAAGUGUGUGUCUUGCUUCCCUUUUCAAUCAACAAGCUACCUCCCUGAUUUGAAUAUAAUAAACUUAAAUGCUUCAGUUUCUAUGGUCCAUUGUUAUGUGAUGGACAUGAAAAAUGAAAAAUAUAGCCUACAAUGUUCAAAAUGCAUCUGAAGUACUAGGGUAUAAAAUAAGCUCACUGCCAUCCAAGUACAAGGGUUAACAACUAGAAAUAUAACCUUUAUUGCUAUCUGUAAACAAAAUAUGCCUGUUGAAUUACAUGUCGGGAAAGGUGAAUGCACGGAUUAACGGCUAGUAUUAGCUAAUUUUGUUGUCUUUUUUGUUAAUAACUAGGUUUCCAAUGCCAAACUCUGCGUAAGGGUUCAGCAACUGGCUACAUAUUGGAAAGGAGUUACUGUUGGUGGCUAGCCCUCAUAAGAGAUAACUAUUUCAUUCCUGAUGCCUUCCAUGCCUAUGGAUGUACCGCGUGCUCGAGUAAGCUAUGCUUGCAGAUGGAUCUUAAACCUGAUGUCAAAUUGUUUAUAAUUGAAAGAGUUUGCUGUUUGUCUGCUUUAGGGAAGAUGGGUAGCACGUUUAUAUGCCAUUAAUUCUCAUGAAAGAGUGCAUAUACCAUGUUUGUCGCAGCAAGAUGAGGCUGUAGAGUAGUAGAAGUGUAGAACAAUGGUACAGGUUGUAUGAAUAAUUUAUUGAAGGGAAUCAUAGACGCCACAGCCACUGAAGCUGUCGGGGCAUGAUUAGCCAAUGGUCUAAUUCCUGAUAUCUCCGUAUCCUAAUUUUCUGAAGCCUUACGGACUCUACCCUCCUCACUUCAUAUAUAUUAGUGUUUAUAAUAGCGGUUUUAUAAGAAGUGCUGAAGGUAUUGGUCCUGCUAUAUCUUGCUUCCACUACCGGAUUUGUGUACGAAAUAUUAAUUCUUGAGAUUUGUCAAUGAUUUUAGGAAGCAAUGAUACCUUCAACUACCGGAUUGCAUAUAUAAGUUAGUCUUAGCCAGUUAUAUAUCAGAGGAGGAAGCACGCAUUAAAUAAUAAAUAACUCAUGUUGAUUCAAUUGGUAACCUGGCCUCUAAAAAGAAAAGGACUCUGUGCUCAAAAAAUGAAAAAAAGUAGCCUGCUAAUAACAAUGUCGACACUUUACAUCUGAGCAGCUAGCUCCGUGAUGCUUUAUCUGGCUAGUGAACUACCUACCUAUGUUAUUUAAACAUUUUUGCUGCCUAUAAAUUGGGCAUCAUUUCAGCAGACCACCACAGCACCUGAGCUUGCCAUCUUUUCCUGUUCUAUCUCACUCAUUUGUCCUGUAGCUACUAGCUAAGCCACCAUAUCAUCCAUGGCUUCCGGUGCCUCCACCACGUUGAAGAUUGCCUCUAUCGCCGCUUGCAUCCUGCUGGUUCUGCUGUCCAAUGGCCACCCUACAGUGGCGACCGUUGAUUGUACUGCGGCUUGCAAAGAGCCGUGCGAGAGCUUUUCUAAGGGAUUCUGCGCGGGUGGAGCCACCAGCGGUUGUGCGACUAAGGCAGCAGCUACAGCAUGCCGCAAUUCGGCGUUCUCGCAGUGUGCGAACAACUGCUACACAGUUUGCACCGCCGGGACCAUCGCGCCUUGCGCUUGAAGAUGCAUUUGUGUUCCUACUUCCACAUUAUUGUUACUGGUGAGUGUGUGCAAGCAGGCCUGCCGUCCACGGGAGGAGGCACGCAAGCACGCAUGAUAAGCCACUGUCAUUUUUCCACUUUAUCAUUUACUUAUUGAAGGCAAUGUACGUGCCUAGCUCCUGUGUGGUUGAGCAUGUCAUCUUGGAAUUUUGUCCAAAGUUUAACAUACCAUGUUGUAUUGUUGUGUAUGGGUAUCAAUAUAAUUUAUCAACUAUUUUGCGUUUACCAUAGACAUUUCUAUGUUUAUUUGCAAGGGUUAGGGAAAUUUGUCCUUGAUAGUGUACUAACCGCGUCUGCCAACUGAACAGAUCAACUUUCUCAACAGCCUAUCUCCUCCUUGAAAAAAUAUUCGUUUUAGAAAUGGUUUGUUUCUUUUCUGUAUAGCUCUAUCACCCAUCACCGUGAGGGUUACAAAACUCGGCGCAAGCGUUCCAAGCUGUGGCGCCACAAACCACAUAAGCUGUGGCGCAAGGGUUCUAGCUGGCUAGUCACAAAAAACUAUUUCAUCCCGGAUGUCUUCCAUGCCCAUGGACCUGCCGCUUUCUUGAUCGAGUAAUCUAUGCCCAUGAAAGGGUUCGGUAUUUGUCUGAUCGAGGAAGACGAGGUAGCACAUUUAUGUGAAAGCAGUACUGGCGGACAUGAUGGUCGGUGGCCUAUUGAUUAUCUUCCAACUCCUUUAUGCCAUUAUCAGUACUACAGAAAUCAUUUGUAGGGGUGAAGUGUUUUUUUUUAGGGUGGACCAAAAGGUCUGCCGCCCCCAGGGGCGGAGCUACAGUCAACCAUCGAUGAUUUGGUCGCGAGCUCUUAUAUCCUUCCCAGGAGAACUGCCCAUACGUUGCUACGGAUAAAAAUAAUGUAUAUAAUUACAUUAAUCAUGAUUUGUUAUUUCAAAUGUGUGACAUAUUAUCGAAUUUACGUAUCUUUCUAUGCAUUUUUCGAACAAAGAGAUAUUUUUAUAAUAAUUUUAUCAGAUUAACAUGAGACAUAAUCUUCUAUGGUAUAUUAUGUACUCUAGUAUGUAAAUCUUAUGUUUGUUUGUGUAGUCUUCUACGUUGCUCGCUUUUUAUAAUAAAAGUAGAGAGAGGUGUGCGCCUGUGAACAACAAAAACCCAAAAAUGUACACAAUAAUCAAUAAAUUAUAAUUAUUAUUUUUUCCUAGAAUAAAAAUAUGGACUCAUCGAGCCCAUGAAAAGCGCAAGGAGGUGGCCCGGCAGCCCCAUCCAUCCAUCCAUUGUUAUCCACACUUGCUAAACAAAUGAAUUAAAAACAUAAUUUUAUCAACACAAGAGACGGAUUAAUUGUUUGGUACUGAACUUUCUUGGACGUUGCUGUUGCUGGAUUCGGCAUUAGGAAGGCGUCGCUCGGCCGUGCAGAGGUGCCAUUGUGGCUUUGUGGAGGCACCCCUACGUUGUGUCGGAGCGGAGCUGCAGGCAGCGUAAGCGGCCGGGUAGCACGCCACAACAUGCUAGAGACAGCGCCGAGCCUUGAGCCUUCGACUGGGGCUGCUUAUAGAGCCAACACCGCUCUGUAUCUUGCUCAGUGGAUGCGCGGACGACGGCGAGCGGCGCCUAGGAGAACUGCAAAUGCUCCUGCACACAUGCCCCAUGGGCCGGAACUGCACACUAACCCCCGCGAACGAUGGUAGUAGGGCAACAAAGCUGGCCAUGGCGCUGCUCGUUGAGCUUUCCGUGUGCGCGAACAGGCAUUUGAUAUGUUCCCUACAAAAUUAAAGGUUGUUUGAUUCAACGGUCAAAUAGUGCGAGCAUGUUAAUUGAUGCGAGUGUAUUGUGGGAACUGCCAAGGAACUGCAGGGCAUCGAGCAAGCAGUGGUGUUGCUCGGAAGUACCAGCACUAACGCGCUUUCCGAUGUGUCUCCAGCGGGGGUGGCAGCGUCUGCCUGCUGGGCAGCAGUUUCACCCUAUUCUGGGCAUCUCCCCACCCGUCUUGGCCAUCAUUACCUCUAGCAUCGUUAAGGUAUGGCUUCCUUUCAGCCUCGGCCGUUUCUUUCUCCAAUGACCGGUUAAAAGAUCAUUAUCUAAUCAACCAUUCACGUCGCCCAUAGUGUAGGCAACAGGCCAUUCUAUUGCGAUCCUCUGUCGCCUAUCGCUUCCCUUGAGAAUUUGAAGUCAGAAAUUCUUUUGUUUCAAUUUUGCUAGGUCCACUAGUUUUCUUAAAUCAGAAUCAAGUUGAAACCAGAAGAGCCUUGUUAGCUUCUUUGAUCUAUACUUCGUUGUAGCAAAUGUACAAUGACAACUCAUAUAAUGGUUGUUUCAUAUUCGAUCUGCAAGUCUUCUUCUCAUUCACACGAUGGAUGGCCAUAGGCACAAAGAGAAUUGAAGUAGUAGACCAUAAUCACUAUAGUAAAAGCUUAAAAUCUCAAAAUAUGUCAUCAUUUAUUUUUCAUUAUGCUAAAAGAUGGAGAUGAGGGCACACAGUCGUAGCUGCAAGUAAGGCCAACAGGCUCAAGGCCAUGGCUUUACAGCCAGCAGUCUUGCCUUGCAUGCACUCACGGACUAUUACCGGACUAGCAAUUGGUACUUUGACGCACUAUAUGGACCCUUACAAAAUUAAAAAAAUGAACGUCAACAAGCAAAUGAAACUGCAUGAACUGAAGUAGGGAAAUGAAGACCACGUACAGUUCUUAUUGAAGCUGAAAUGUAUGUCAUAAAAGUAUUAUUGUUAGAUUAAAGUCAAUUUAAAUAUUUAAACGAGUAACGAGGGCUCGGAUUAGUAGAAGGUGUUAGUGAGGCCCUCCAAUAGACCACUCAAUGAUUUUUAGAUCCAACUGUUUAUAUAGUAAGUUCGGAUAUUUAAUUAAUAAAUUGAAGUUGCCUUAAGAUAUGCAUAGUAAAUCACAAGACCAAAGUGGAAUAACCAUUAGACAACUAAUAAAACCAUCAUUAAGUUUUUGUCUACUUUUAGCAAUAUUGCUUAGGUUUUCUAUUUCGUCUAAAUAUAUCUUAAGCGGCUCAUAUGUCCGAAUUACCCACACAGUGAAUAAAUGUCAUUCCAGUUCAAGGAUUCAUGUGCAGUUGUCACACACUAGUGUGAACCCAUCAAGUGUGUGUCUUGCUUCCCUUUUCAAUCAACAAGCUACCUCCCUGAUUUGAAUAUAAUGAACUUAAAUGCUUCAGUUUCUAUGGUCCAUUGUUAUGUGAUGGACAUGAAAAAUGAAAAAUAUAGCCUACAAUGUUCAAAAUGCAUCUGAAGUACUAGGGUAUAAAAUAAGCUCACUGCCAUCCAAGUACAAGGGUUAACAACUAGAAAUAUAACCUUUAUUGCUAUCUGUAAACAAAAUAUGCCUGUUGAAUUACAUGUCGGGAAAGGUGAAUGCACGGAUUAACGGCUAGUAUUAGCUAAUUUUGUUGUCUUUUUUGUUAAUAACUAGGUUUCCAAUGCCAAACUCUGCGUAAGGGUUCAGCAACUGGCUACAUAUUGGAAAGGAGUUACUGUUGGUGGCUAGACCUCAUUAGAGAUAACUAUUUCAUCCCUGAUGCCUUCCAUGCCUAUGGAUGUACCGCGUGCUCGAGUAAGCUAUGGUUGCAGAUGGAUCUUAAACCUGAUGUCAAAUUGUGGAUAAUUGAAAGAGUUUGCUGUUUGCCUGCUUUAGGGAAGAUGGGUAGCACGUUUAUAUGCCAUUAUUUCUCAUGAAAGCGUGCAUAUACCAUGUUUGUCGGAGCAAGAUGAGGCUGUAGAGUAGUAGACGUGUAGAACAAUGGUACAGGUUGUAUGAAUAAUUUAUCGAAGGGGAUCAUAGACGCCACAGCCACUGAAGCUGUUGGGGCAUGAUUAGUCAAUGGUCUAAUUCCUGAUAUCUCCGUAUCCUAAUUCUCUGAAGCCUUACGGACUCUACCCUCAUCACUUCAUGUAUAUUAGUGUUUAUAAUAGCGGUUUUAUAACAAGUGCUGAAGGUAUUGGUCCUGCUAUAUCUUGCUUCCACUACCGGAUUUGUGUACAAAAUAUUAAUUCUUGAGAUUUGUCAAUGAUUUUAGGAAGCAAUGAUACCUUCAACUACCGGAUUGCAUAUAUAAGUUAGUCUUAGCCAGUUAUAUAUCAGAGGAGGAAGCACGCAUUAAAUAAUAAAUAACUCAUGUUGAUUCAACUGGUAACCUGGCCUAUGUCACUCGGAUACACCGUUUCUCUGAGGUGUUCCAGGAGGCGUAAGUUGUGGAACAAUUCCGCAACUCUUUAGAUGAUUGCUAAACUCGUGGCUCAAAUACUCGCCUCCACGAUCAGAUCGUAAGGCUUUAAUUUUUUUGCCAUGCUGAUUUUCAACUUCAUUCUGAAAUUCCUUGAACUUUUCAAAGGUUUCGGACUUGUGCCUCAUCAAGUAGACAUAGCCAUAUCUACUAAAAUCAUCAGUGAAAGUUAUGAAGUAUUGGAAUCCUCCUCUAACCUUCGUGCUCAUUGGUCCGCAUACAUCACUAUGUACGAGUUUCAACAAGUCUACUGCUCUCUCAGAAAAUCCUGUGAAAGGUGUCUUGGUCAUCUUGCCUAGCAAGCAAGCCUCACAUAUCUCGUAUGAUUCAAAAUCAAACGAAGUUAGAAGUCCAUCAGAAUGGAGCUUCUUCAUGCGCUUUUCACUUAUAUGACCCAAACGACAAUGCCACAAGUAGGUAGGACUCAAAUCAUUAGGCCGAGGCCUUUUAGCACUUACGUUACAGACAGGUGAACCAUCAAGAUUUAAAACAAAUAAUCCAUUCACAAUGGGCGCAAAAGCCAUAAACAUAUCAUUCUUAGAGAUCACACAACCAUUGUUUUCACUCGCAAAUGAAUAACCAUCCUUCAUCAAGCAUGAAGGAGACAAAAUGUUUCGACUUAAACUAGGAAUGAAAUAACAAUUAUUCAACUCCAUAAUAAAUCCUGACGGGAGGUGGAGUUGCAUCGUCCCGACGGUCAACGCAGCAACUUCUUGCAUUAUUGCCCACGCGGAAAUCAACUUCUCCUCUUUCCACACUUCUACUUCUUAUCAUUCCCUGCAUCGAAUUGCAAAUAUGAGCAACCGAUCUGGUAUCAAAUACCCAAGAAUUAAUAAUUAUCUAUAACAUUAACAACAAGCGUACCUGAGGUAGAAGUAUUCUUACUUCCGCCAUUCUUCAACGAAGCUAGGUAUUGCUUGCAGUUUCUCUUCCAGUGACCAGGUUCGUGACAAUAAAAGCACUCUUUGUCUGGAGUAGGCCCAGCUUUAGCCUUGGGCGCUGGGUUUGGCUUAGACAGUCCAGCCUUACCCUUCUUCUUCCAAAAAUUGCCCUUCUUAUUGAAGGUAGGCUUGUUCUGUACAGCCAUCACAUGGUUGGUACUAGCGCUUUUCUUAAUGUCUACCUCUGCUGUCUUGAGCAUACCAUAUAGUAUAUUCAGACCCUUCUCCGUCCCAUGCAUAUGGUAGUUCGAGAUGAAGUUCCCAUAGCUAGGCGGAAGAGAUGAAAGAAUGAAGUCAGUGGCCAACUCUUUGCCCAUUGGGAAGCCCAUCUUCUCCAAUCGCUGAGUGUAACCAACCAUCUUGAUUACAUUUGGUCCUACUGUUGCGCCUUCUGCUAGCUUGCACUCCAGAAAGGCUUUGGACACAUUGAACCUUUCAGUCCUAGCCUGUGUCUAGAACAUGUCCUUGAGCGCCACGAUCAUAUCGUGUGCCUCAUGAUUUGUUUCGAACUGCAUCUGCAGCUCGGGUUCCAUGCAAGCAAGCAUAAGGCAGCUUACCUCAAGAUUAGCAUCAAAUGCCUUCUUGUAAGCAGCCUUAACGGCAGCAGAUGAAUCAUCAGCAGGUACUGGUGGUAGUGGGGUGUCUAGAACAUCUUCCUUUUUAUCGGCCCUGAGAACAAUUCUCAGGUUACGGAUCCAAUCCGAGUAGUUUGUUCCAUUCAACUUGUCCUCUCAAGGACCGAACGCAAAGCAAAUGGUGUGGUGUUGCUAGGUGCCAUUUAAUCUACAACAAAAGUAAUGCAAAAUACACUAAGACAAACAUAUCCAUGAUAGAGCAAAUCACAUUAAACUAUGUUAACAGAAUCUACUCCCACUAAAAUCAAUAUCCCUCUAUUGAUACUUAGUGAUUCAGGAUCCACAACUAACAAGUCUACUAGUGAGCUUUAGCAUCACCGCUAGCAAACAAAGUAGAUCGGUAAGCAACUUUUCCUAAUCAUAUCACAUAUGACUCCUGUUGUUGGGUGACAUCUCCAUGUCUCGGCGCCCAACCUUUAUGCCCCAAGGUCCUUAAACGUUAAGUUAACCUUGUUAAGCAAACCAACCCUUAUGCAUGUAAGUGUGCGACACAAACCCGUCUAAUCAAGAAAAACUAGUGGCACCCUAAUUUCAUAGACCCACCACUAAUUGUACAAGACAUGGGACGGUGCAAGUUUUAGUUGGGAGGGCAUACUAACUUAAAAUUUGUGAGGGAUCGUUCUACUUCUAACAUCACAGCAUGCAGAAAGUAAAACAUAAACAGAAUAGCAUUCACACAGUUGUGACACAGUAUGACCCGUUUUCUUAUGGUGAUCUUCAUCUCCAUAGAACCUGUUCACCAUGGUGAUCUCCAUCUCCAUGUUCCAUGUGCGCCAUCCUCUUGGUGAUGAGUCCUCCAAGAACUAGAACAUGCUAUUACGCCUAAUAGCUAGUAAAAAGCUAGUAAUGAAGAUUACAUAGUUGGUUGGAUCAUCACAGAUUGGUACGCAGACCAUUAAAUACAUUAAGGUAACAACACAUAUGGCUCCUGCCGUGUUGCCGUACGCACGACACGCAGGUCACGAAUGAGUUACACACAUGCAUCACAUACACAAAGGGGCCAUACUGAUCACAAGAUACAUACAUCUUGCAAAACAGAGUUAAGCGUCCUAACGUUCCAAACUUUGGAGGCCCGAAACUCCAUCUUCCAAGCCGAAUUUGGGAAAUCUAAUGUCGCCGAAAAUGGCGAAGCAGUCGAAUUUCAUGUGUAACUUUUUCUGUAGAUCAAUUUUUAUAUAAAAUUCGCCCCGAUCCGAGAUCGUAUCGAAAAGUUACGGCUGAUUUACCGAAGCAUACGCACACGGCAAAAUCCCGACCCCGGCAGUAGAUCCCAUCUACUAUUGCACAUCUCAUGUGCCUGGCGUAUGAACCUAGAUUUCGAUUCGACCAAUCACAUUGAUCUUCGCUCACUGCAACUGGAAUUACGUGUAUCACCUAACUCCGAUGGUGGAAACCCAACCGGUAGGAGUAUGUCGUUACACUACCAUAGCAGCAAGAACACGAAACCAGGACGGAGAUCAAAUUGAAAACUCGCAUAUCUCCAUAUGCACACAUCCCAAAUCCAAAACUAAACAGCUACGGCUCUGAUACCACUGUCGGGAUACGAGGUAGGCUACACUAGCGCAAAUAAAAAAUUUUCUACCGCGUAAACCAGGGAAACUGCCGUAUAAGGAUCACGGGAUUACCACUCGACACACUACUAGUGCGCAAGAUGUAGAUUCACGUCGAUGCAGCGAAGUCGAUCAACGUAGUCGUAUGUAGUCGAUCACGUCGACGUCCAACAGCUCCUCAGCAGCUCGUCCACGUGCAGCAAGAUCUCCCUCGUGCCGCGGCUUGUCGGCGGCUCGUCACGGCUCGUCGGCGGCUCGUCCAAGUGCUGCAGGCGCAACACCUCCAAGGUAUCCACACGUGCAGGGAGGAAGCGUCACAAGCCGGACUGCUAGAUCCGUAAGUUGCAACAGGCGUGGGAGGCGCGGCUGAUGAGUUUCGUCAAAAUGGUGUAAACCCUAGGGCGCCCCCACCCCUCUAUUUAUAGAGGUUCCUAACGGGCCUCUGGGUCCGAGGCCCAUUAGUACUUCUAAACCUAAUCCAACUCGGAUCACAUCCGAAUUGGGCUUCCAGCCCCUUAAGUGUAUGACCCUAUGGGUUCGGAUACGUAUAGACAUGGCCCGAGUACUCUUACUCGGCCCAAUAGUCGGUAGCGGCCUCUAGCAAGACAUGCCAACUCCUAGAUGCACACGAAGAUCAUAUCAGACGAACCAUCACAACAUUAUAUACAUGCUAUUCCCUUUGCCUCACGAUAUUUUGUCUAGCUUCAAGCCGACCGCUCUUUCUCGAUCCUGUGAUUCGGAAUCCCUUUGUAGGUUAACUCUUAACCGUACGUAGCAUGGCCAUGCAUUUUUGGAUCCGAUCACUCGAGGGGCCCAGAGAUAUCACUCUCAAUCAGAGAGGGGCAAAUCCCAUCUUGAUUAACCAUGUCUCAUAGCAUGCUUCUUGACAAAACCGAAAGCUACCUUUAUAACUACCCUGUUACGGCGUAGCGUUUGAUACCCUCUAAGUAGGUCGAUCCACAUCUUGAAUACAUGCGACAAUCUCAGGUCUAAGGACAAAGCGUAUAUGAUGUUUAAAGAGAGAACUACUUCUCAUGUUGGGUCAGUCCUAGCACAUGUCUCCACAUGAACCCACAUUAUUAGUUCAACAUCUCCAUGUCCAUGACUUGUGAAACAUAGUCAUCAACUAAUACAUGUGCUAGUCUAAUAUUCAUGUGUGUCCUCACAUGAACUCCGACUAGGGACAACUUUAGAAUAACCAUACAAGUAAAGAGUUUCACACACAAUUCAUGUAAUUGCAAAUCAAUUCAAGUAGUCUUUAAUGGAUAUUCAAGGAACACAACAUAAAUCAUGGAUACAAAUGGAAUAUCAUCAUCUCUAUGAUUGCCUCUAGGGCAUACCUCCAACAAUUUGCAGGGUCAUGCACCAUGCGUGCGGCGACCCAUCCAUCGGACAGCGCAUGGCAUUGCACAAGACGUACUGGGAGGAUAUGCAGUGGAAUGAGCCAGACAGGUACUACGCCCUCCUCGCUCUGCUGGUUGGUUUGGGGAACCUGGAGGCCUGCACCAUCAAAGGGAUUGUAGAUUUCUUCGCCGUCCCCCGGCCAUCCCUCCAAAAGCUUUCCCGCACCACACCGGGUGGGCAUGAUGUGAGGGCCUAUCUUUACGCCCUAAUGAUAUACAGGAACAACAGUGCAAUCAUGGACGAUGACAUUGCGAAGAGAUAAAUCUACCACGUCGAAUGCAAGGAUGGUUCGGCAGUGAGCGGGAGCACAAGCUCAAAGAAGCUGCGCAACGAUGCCUGUCAGGUGUGCCGCGAGGAGGCCGCCUACCUAGUCAAUAGAGUUACAUGGGGCGGGCAUGGUGAUCCGCUUUCACCGGCACCAGUUUGAGGCGACUUCCCUUGCACUGGAGGCGACUGCGGCAAGGUUAAGGGCUGGGAACAAGCUACGCUUUAUUGCAACGAGGACUAUAGGAUACGCCAUGAAAUUGUAGCGUUCAAAAGGAGAAUGGAGAUCGAUAACUAAUUGUAGGAUUUCUUUUGCUUUUGCCUAAUGUUGUCCAUGACUCGUUGGCUGAACUUGUAGUGCUGGAACUAUGUUUGUGGUUAAUUUGGAUCAACUUGUAGUCACUACAAGGUUUUGUCUAUCCAAUGGAGUUGUAUUUUCGCAAUGUGUUUUUGUGUCUAAGCACACCUUACACCUCCCUACAUAUAGGUGUUAUGAUGCACAUAUAAAAAGAACCCACACUUGGGUACCUUCAUUUGUCCUUGGAUUUCAAUUGUGGGACCCACUACAUCCCGCCAGGUUGUGCCUCAAAUUUUUAGUACUAGUGCAAUGUUUCCUCCAUUCUUUUUUUCCUAGACCCUCAAAUAUAUCUCAGCCUCUACCCCACUUGCCCCCAAAACUGCGCUGGCUGCGUUAGGGGGGGCAACGGUUCCUCUCUGCCCAAGCGACUCCAUCCAUGGCAACUCCUCCUUCCAUGGCGACUCCUUCCAUGGCCGGCGAUGGAGAACCCAGCACACGACCAAGUACGGUCAGAGUCGAGGAAGCCGAUAUUGAAAACAAAUGUUACAGGUUCGCAUCCACCUUUAACGCCUUCUAGGUUAGGGCAGAAAAUUUCUACACAUUAAUUGCGUACAAUCGAUUUGAUGCUGCCUCAUUGGCGCAUGCUUUUAUAAAUCACAGAUCUGAUUACUACUGAUUAGUUUUUCGCAUAGCACUAGUAGUACUACAUCUUCAUUCAUUGAUGCAAGGGUUUUGAUAUCUAUGUGCACAUACAGAUCAGAGGAGUUGACAGGCUAGAUGGAUGUGGCAGGUAAUGGUACAGUGCCUGGGGGCAGAAGGACAAGAUGUGCGCCUGGUUAAGGUAAUAUUGAUAGCGCACAAUUAGACUUUGUCAGCUUGUGGGAUUACAAAGAUCAACUUCGAUAUGGUGCGUGGGACUACUACUACUACAAGAAGAGAAUAGGAAAUGCUGAUGCAUCUGUUCAGUCAAUUGGUUACCCCAAAGAUGUAGAGUGUAUGUUUCAGUACAUGGAUUCAUCUGAAGAAAGGAAACUAAGGUUGAUACUAUCAAAACAAGAAUUGGUUGGAGCUGUCAACAUUACACCCCUGAAACAACCAAGGGUGAAUGAGUCUGAUGAUGUUACUGAUGCUGAUACUAGUAAUGAUGAAUCACUUGAUGAAUACAAAGAUUGUCUUCAAGACCAAGACCUAGAUUGUGGUAUGUAUGCUGUUUGUACUACACUAUGCACAUGUGUCUAUAACUGUACAAUGUACUCACAUAGUUGUGUUGGUAACUUGCAGAUCUAUACGAUAACUAUAGGGAAGAAAUAGUAAAAACAUACUCUAAAUGGUUAAGGCAGAAAGGCCUUAUGAGAGAUAUUUGUAAAUCCUUUUUCCUCUGAACUAAUUCUUAUUUUUGAUGAAAAUUGUACAAUCGUCUAAGUGCACUUGUUUUUUAUUUGUUCAGUGGCUUAUAAUAGAGGUCAAGCAAAGCUUACAGAAGUACGUGAUGAGAGCAAUGGUAGUAGCGCCACGCCACCAUCACAAUGGCCAGCACAUGCUAGGAAACCAAAGCAGACAAUAGGUUCUAAAAGCUAAAGCUUCACACCUUCUGUAGUUUUUUAUGCUCUUAUUGUGCACGACUUAAUGUAAGUUUCUAUUUUUUGAUUGUAAUUAGGUGGCAAGAAAAUGGACCGAGAAUGCUUGAAAGGGCUAGCUGUGGUGGCCAAGAGAUCGAAGUCUGGCUCAUAGAAACUGAAAAUCAAAUUUUCCAAAAAUGUGGGUGGUCCCUGUGGAGAUAACAGACGUACCUUUGUGGAUGAGGUUGUUCUGUUUACAAAGUAGAAGGCUCCAUUAAUUGGAGUUAGAAAUUGGAAAGAUGUGUGUCAGCAUGUCAAGGAUGAUAUCGUAGAAUCUGUAAUGGUAUGUCAAUGGCCACCUCAUCCUUCAUUAUAAUGUUAUAUAUUAGUCUUGUUCCCUCUAUUUUCUUGGAAACAUAUAUUUUGAAUGUAGCAUACAUAACAAGUUUUCUUUCCCACUAGGAUCAUUGGGACCUUGAGACCACUGAGAGUCCGAACAAAAAGAUAUGGAAGGUUGCCAAUGAACGCUACAAAAGUUGGCGAUCUGUUUUGCAUUCUACAUACAAGGCAUACAACAGUUAUGAUGAGAGAAGGAGACAUAAGCCUGAAGACAUAGACAUUGUGAAGUGGCACUAUUUGAACAUGUACUUUGGAACUAAGGACUUCAAGGUAGGCCCUCUUUUGUAAGUAAAAGAACACAAUCAUGAGUUCAACUUUUCAUCGCUAACCAUUACUUUACGGGAUGACUGUGUAGAGUAGGAGCAGCAUGAACUCUUUGAAUCGUAGCCAACUGAGAACAAAUCACUCGGGGGGUUCCAAACCUUUCUCGUAGUGGAGUUGGGAAAAGGUAAAGAUUUGUUUACUUAUUCUCAACUUUCAGUACAUUACACAAUGAUAUAUUAAUAGCGUUUAAUGUUGUAAUCAUAGAGAGAUCCAGUAACUGGCGAUGAGCCACCCCUUUUGGAACUUUGGAAGACUACUCAUACUAGGGAAGAAAGAUGGACAAAUCACCUAGCUGAAAGUAUUUAUGUGUGUACUGAGUGCUAAUUUGAUCAUAACAUUGAUUCGGCAUUACAAGCUAUUUUUUGGUAUGAAAACAUGACCAAAUUAAUGUUACAAUUAAUUGUUUCUUGCCAUCAGACAUGUACAUCUAGAAAAUUAUCUCAACACAAUCAGAUGAAGAAGACCAACAAGUCAUACUUCUGGACUUGCUAAGGAAGACCAAGUUUUCUAGGAAACGUACAGGGAAACAACAGGAGCCAAAUAUAGAAGGUCACGUGGCCAUGGUUACUUGUCGAAUCCAAAACGAAAGCAAGAAGCCCUUCAGGAGAGAAUGAUUCAGGAGAGAAUAGAGAGGCCCGAAGAACAAGAAUGUCAGUUACAGGAAAAAAUGCAAAAGCAUGAAGCUAAAAAGGAAGCAGAGAUCGAACAACUUAAAGUUGCACUUAGCCAAGAAUUGAUGGGGGAAGUUGCUAGAAUGAUCGCGCCUUAUCGUCAGGCUUUACUGCAAGAGGUAACCAGAAUAUAAUUUGUGCAUGUUGAUUUAUGUUGUGUUCUAAAUUUUCAUAAUGUCACUAAUGUCUAGCCUCCCCUCUUUUAAAAUCCGCAGCGUACCCCAGCAAACAACAAUAAUACAACUGAAGUUGAUGCUAGGACCACCGAGGAUAACAUUGAUGCAAGGCCAGUACUGGACAGCCAAGAAAUAAGGAACCAUGUAUCGACAAUAAUUGGUUGUGAUUGAAAAUAUAUAUACAUAUGUCGCUAAUCUCUUGCCUGCCCGCUUUUAAAUUGUGCAGCAUACCCCUCAAACCAACAAUAAAACAACUGAUGAUGAAGCUGGGAGCACUGAGGAAAACCUUGCUGCAACACAAGUAGUGCAUAGUCAAGAAACAUCAAACCAGGUAACAAUAUCGAACAAGCAUUCCAAUCAUGAUGGUUUUUUGCAUUAAAUUUCAGCUAAAAUUGUUCCAAAAACUUUAUUAUGAUCCAGAAUGCUCCAAGAACCAUUGUCACAACCGAAAAAAGCACUUUGGCACCAACCAGAAAUGCUAAAACUGCCAACGUUGCAAAGAGUCUGUUCAAUGAGAAUCACGGUAAAGGUGUAGGAGUUGUUGCAGGAUCCAGAUUCAUUAGUACACAUCAGCUUAUAUCUGGUGCUAAAACUCGAGCAGGCAUAAAGAAAGUACAACAGGUACAAACUGGAAGUGUGCUUUCAAUAUUGCUGCAUAUUGAUUCCAAGACAAAGUAGCUUCAUAAGUUUUAAUUCACUUGUUUGUUUCUCUUUGCUUCAGCAGGCUAGUGAAGCUACGGAGGGGCAAUAAGACUCAAGGUUGCCUACAGGUUACAAGCAGAACUUCAAGCAAAGUUGAUCAUCAUGAAUGCUGGGAGUGAUCAAGAUUAUAGAUGUGUACGAAUAAUAUAGGUGUUCUACAUACUUUAUUAUUGGGAGUCAUGUGGAUGAAUGGACAAGAAUAUUUUCCGUUGUAUUAAAAAAUAUGAUGACGACAUAUUUUCCGUUGCGAUAUCCAUUGAGCGUAUAACCACGACCCGUAUUGUGUUGCACUAUCCUGUACGCAUAUAACCACGACAUAUUUUGAUGCGAUAUGGUUGAUGCAUAUAACGACGGCACAUACCUCGUUGUGAUACCUCGUGAGCAUAUUACAACGCUUUCUCAUCAUUGCGAUAUCCAUUGAGCGUAUAACCAUGACCCGUAUUGUGUUGCAAUAUCCUGUAUGCAUAUAACCAUGAUAUAUUUUGUUGCGAUAUGGUUGAAGCAUAUAACGACAGCACAUACCUCGUUGCGAUACCUUGUAAGCAUAUUACAAUGCUUUCUCGUCGUUGCGAUAUAAUUUAAGCAUAUAACGAUGACCCAUAUUUCGUUGCGAUACCCUUUAAGCAUGUUGCAAUGUCAUAUUUUGUUGGAAUAUGGUUGACGCAUAUAGCCAUGACUAGUAUUUUGUUGAGAUAUCCUCUUAGCAUAUUGCAAUAGGAUAAGUCUUGUAUUGCAACAACAUUCUUGUGUUGCAUUAACGCUUGUUUGCAACAGCGCAAUGUCGUUGCAAUAGCCACUAUAGCAACGACGCCUGCCAUUGCAAUUAACAAAAUUGCAACGACAAUGGACGUUGUAAUAUCCACUUAUUACUACGACACACAUCGUUGCAACAACUCACCCUUAUGCCCACGGCUUCCUGUGUCAUUGUAAUACCCUAUUACAACGCAAGUUUACGCAACGACAUGAAUUUUAAGGCAACGACACAAAAUUAUCGCAAUAGCUCGCUAUUGCAAUGAAAUGACCCCUAUUGCAAUGAUUUCGUGCUGUGGUGCUAGUGACAAAACCUUGUAGUGAAUGAUUUGGCUGCUAGCGUCACUUGGCCUACCCAACUCCCUCCGGGUUGGACGGUUGAGUGGGAUUCCUCCUCAGACGGCGAGGAUAGGGGUCAUUGAUGUCAUGAUCGGCUUCGUCAUGAUAUCGUGUAUCGACGUUUAGUUUCCGCAUGUUUUACUUCUUUGUUGUUUGAAACCGUGCAAACUCUGAUCUAAUAAAUUAUUGAUCUUUCUAUAAUAUGAACGGAAUGUUUUAAUCUCUGUAAGCACUAACCUUUGUGUGAGCAAUGCUUAUCGAUCCUGUAUAUGUGGUUUAUCAGAGGAAAUCCAACGGUCGACUAAGUUGACUUGUUUAAGGUGCUUGAUCGCGUGUUAGGUGACUUAAGUGCACUUUAGCUAGGUUAAUUUUAGACCAUUCCGCCACAACAUGGAUACUUUUUCCUCUUGGUUGCAUCAACACCUUAUAGGUAACUCUGAGAUUCACCCACAACUCGCUUGGUUAGCUAAGGGACCUUCUAGCACAAUCGUGAAAUUCCAAGGCUACAAGAUAAAUGAUUAUACAUUUUACACGAGAGCCCAAGACCAAAAAAGCACGAACCAAAAUAGUGGUGUCCGCAUAGAUGUCAUACACAGCACCGGUAGCAAGGACUCCUAUUAUGGUUUCAUAGAGGAGAUAUGGGAACUCGAAUACAGACCGCUGAACAUCCCUCUGUUUUGUUGCUAAUGGGUGAAGCUAACUGGCGUAACCAAAGAUCAGCAUGGAAUAACAAUAGUGGACCUAACCAAGACUGGAUACAAUGAUGAACCAUUCAUACUUGCCAAUGAUGUGCAUCAAGUUUUCUAUGUGAAGGACAUGUCUAGCAAACCAAAAAAAAUUCAGAAGAGCCAUGGAAGCCAAAGCGCCACAUAGUGCUUCUAGGUAAGAGAAAAAUCAUGGGAGUCAAAGAACAAAAUAGAGCAAUCAGAUCAUUAUGAUUAGUUUGAUGGCAUGCCUCCAUUCGCUAUUGAAGUUGACCCAAGCAUCAUGCCAAAGAAGAGGCUCCGUACUUACGCCAUGAUCAUGACCAAGGAACUUUCAUGAAGAAGUUUCUUAACGUUACAUUGUAAUGCACUAAAUAUGCUUCACCUUUAUGUAAAGUUACAUUGUAAAGUUCUAUGAUUUCAUGUACUACUUGAUACAAUUUUUAAUUUAAUGUAUCUAUGAUUUCAUGUGUGUUUAAAUUAGGUGAGGUGAAGAAUUAUUCAAAAUAUGUUUUUUGAUAUAUUUUUGCAUGUUUGAAAAAUAUAAAGUUUUUAUUUUUUUCUAUAACAAAGCCAGUUCAAAACAUAUAUUAAUUUGUAUGUUUAAAUUAGUUGAGGUAAAGAUUUAUUCGAUCAAUAUGAACAAUGUUAACCACAUACAUCAAUUGAAUUUUUCACAUGUUGAAAUUAUUUAAUUGAAUAAUUUCUUGAUGAUAGUGAUGUAGUAAAAUAAUUAUUUUAUAAACUAAAAGAACUAGUAUAGAAUUAAUGACUCAUUCAAACUUAUUGUUAAUAUACUUGCUAAUUUAAUAUAGUUUUGCAUGUUCCAAAUAUGUAAAGUUUUUAUUUUUUCCUUCCUAAAAUCCAGUGAAAACAUAUAUAAAAUCUAUUUGCAAAAAAUAGGCGAGAACUGAAAAAUGGAAAACGAAUCUUUAUCCUAGAUGCAAAUUGCAUCUAGGACAAAAUGUCCCCCCUUUAGGCCCGGUUGCAAUUUGCCACUAGGAUAAAAGGGUAAUUUUCGCCUCCCACGCGAACGUACCCUUUUGUCCUGGUUGUAAAUUGCAACCGGGACUAAAGGGGGGGCCUUUUGUCCGGUUGCAAUUGGCACCCAGGACAAAAGGACCCUUUAGUCCAGGUUGCAAUUUGCAACCGGGAUAAAAAGGGUCGUAAAAGUAACAUUCAUCUUCUCCACCCUCCACCCUUCAACACUUAGCGAAAUUUUCACCACUCUCCAGGAUCUACCGCGCCCGUCCGCCUCUGAUGCCGCUGGUCUCUCAUCCCCGCCCGUCCGCCUCCAUCGCCGGCCGCCGUGCUACUCAUCACCCGCCUCCAUCCCACUGUCGCCUCCUCCAUCGCCCGACCCGCCACCGCCUCCUCCGUCGCACCCUCUCGUCGCCACCGCCUCCGGUGCGCCCCCUCAUUGUCACCUCCCUCCGCGCCGCCUCUGUGGUGAAACCGCCCAACUUAAGCUGGUUUAAGUGCACCUAAUCGCUGUCGGGACAACAAUUAUUCGAAACACACCUAAAACAGCAUAAGUCCGGUAGUCCGUCGAGUGUCCCUAGGACUCCUCGAAAGAUCCACGACGUGUCUCAUAGCCAUACACCAGGAUCGCUUCCUCGAUGGGAAGGCAUCAACAAACAUUACAUUUUUACAUACAUACCGGGGUACGAAUUAUUACAUACCAUAGUUUGAAACAAACUUAAUAGUGCAGGUUAGCGCGGUUCUAAGAGUUCAAAACAUGAACCAGUCUAGGUGAAAGAUAAACAUUUAAGUUUUAUUUCUAGGGUAUUUCGAGACUCGUAAAAUACCCUAGUUCUUCGGAGCUUCUUCCUCAGCGGACUCCUGUUGUGGCUCUGAAAUAGCAACGAGGGAUAACCCUGAGUAUAGGGUACUCAGCAAGACUAACCCGACUAACCAAUAUAAUAGCUUUUCUGGAAUUGCAUGAAAGCCUUUCAGUGUACUGGCUGACUCAUAUUUUUGCCAAAAGAGCUUACUAAAGUGAAACCUUAACUUUGUCUUUUACUUCAAUUGAGUUAUUACCUAUCCAAUCUAGAUAAUGAAAAAGAAAUACUUUUGCAAACAGUAGGAAAUUAAGUCAUACAACAAAUUAAUUGGAAAGACAUUGCAUUCAUGAGAUUACACUACGAUGCUUAACAGCGAUCUAGCGCAUUCAUAACCGAGAAUUGCGGCGAUCCGGAUCAAUUACAUCCUAUAGGAGAGCACCCUGAUCACCAGCUAUGUACAACUGUCCGGGUCGUACAUAACGACCUUUCGAUUAGCAUACCCAAAGAUUGGGAAUAAGACUACCCGAACCCAGGGACGCACCCCCACAUGGGACCCCAUGUCUGGCCCGAUCUCCAUGUGAGUUUUUAGGCUAUGCCCCUGCCAAUCUCCAGCACGUCAAGCACGGGUACGAAAUAUUCCGGAUCAGAGAGUUUACUAACCUACCGGGCUUUACUGGUCCCAUACCCAGUAAGCAACCAGGUGACAUUCACUUGAUCAAAGGUUAAGACAACGAUCGGGCCUUAACCAAAUUAAUCUAGCAGACAGAACUAACAUCUCUAGCUUCUAUCGGCUUUCCAAAUUUCCAAGCUAACUUUCCAUAUCUAGCAUGUAUGACCCAACAAUUUACCUUAAGGUUCGGUAACCAAGUUACUUUCAGUAUCUAAGCAUUGCUAAGCAUGGGUUAAUUACUAAUUAUUGAACAAGUGGCAAAGAUGUCCUUAAAACAAGGCAGGAUCAUGCACAAGAAUAGGUUUCAAUCAACUCCUAGACUUAAUGCAUUGAUAAAAGAAAUAACCAAUAAUUGAACACAUGAAAUAAUAACUCCAAAACAGAUAGGUAUAGAUGCACCGGGGCUUGCCUGGGAUCAACAAAUGUUAGUUCUUCGGAAAACCCCUUUAGUAAAAGAGGCACUUCAACAUUUCUCGGACUCUGUCAAUCUUCAGAUGAAUUCCACGAAUUCCACUUCAGAAGCUUCGAUGUCUAUGAUUUAGUACAUGCAGGAGUUAGAGAUGCAAACUUUUGAAUACAUGACUAUACAACUUUCCUUCAUGAUAAAGUUGCAAGCCAACAAGUGACUAUACAACCUAUCUUCACAAUAAAGUUGCAAGCCAACACUAAUCUACCCAUAACAUCUAACCCACGAUUUUUUAAUCUCUUUACUAACCUGCCUUAAGCCCUUUCUUUUAUUUUAGAAAAGCAUUACAAAUAUUUUCUAAUCUCAAAAGUUAUUUCCUAUGAUUUAAUAAUAAUUUGUGAAUAAGAAAACAUUAUUCAAUAUUUUAUGCAUUUAAUAAAGGUUAAGCAUUUAUUUAAAUAACUUAAUGACGCAUUAAAUAAAUACCUAAAUUUUAUUAUUUUUCCUAGGGUAUAAAAAUUUGAAUGCAUAAAGGAAAAUAAAAUAAUCCUAACAAAAUUGGUCUCACUAAUUUUGGACACUCCUAGAAAUUUCUGUGAUUUAAACGGUGUAAACCGAAUUUUAAUGUUCUUUAUCUAUAAAAGGAAAACCUAAUGUUUAUCCAAAUAACCCCGGCCUAACCUUUCUCACUCGUACUAGGCCCGUUAAGCUGGUCCACCUACUCCCGGUCUCUACCUUAUUCUACUCGCCGGCCCAACGAGCGCCCAAACUCUAACGAGCCUCCUCACGACCGGCCUGCUCUCCGCACAGGCCAACAGCCCAACUUCCUCCUCCCUACCCAUGCCUGACGCAAGGGCCUUUUUUUUUUGGGGCCAGCCCACCCCGUUUCUUUCCCCCUUCACUUCCACCUGGGCCUCCAACCGACAAGCCCCUCUCAACUCCCCUGGCGCAUAGGCCAGAACAGGGGCGCGACAGGCAGGGGGCGGGGCUCGCCGACGGCGCCUCCCCGGCGGCGUGGCCGGGCUGGGGGCAUCCCGAAACCGGGGCACACCCACGGGCGGUGGCGGCCCUCCAGGAGGCGGCCUGUGCCGAGCCCUCCACGGUGGCGGCGGCAAAGGCCGGCGGCCGGCCGGCGCAAAGCCCGACGGUGGCGCAAAAACGGCCUUCGGUGCCCCCCCUAUGGACCCUAUUCGACUCAGCAAGCUCUGCAACCCAAGGAAUCGAGCAAAAGGGGCAGCACGGAGAGGCUCACCAAAGAACUAUGGUGGCGGCUGGCGGAUUAAAAUGGUGGCGAUUCGGAGCUUUGACGAUGAGGAAACAGAAAUCGGAGGGGCGUGGACGUUGCGGUGGGGCUAGCGAAGCGUCUGGCGGGCGGAUUCGCGAAGAGAAGCGAAAGCGACGGAGCGAGGGUGUUGGCCAGCGGCGGCGUUGCUUUCCCGAGCUUUGGCUCGCAUGGCAGUAGAAAUGGCAAAGGGUUAAAUGGGAUGAGGGUGAGGUGGUAAAGAUACAUAACUUUUACCGUGCAUGUGUGCCACCUCGAUGACCUGCAGGCCUGCGUGGGCGCGGACGUGGUUGUUGCGCUGGUCGACGGGCAGAGGUGCCGGCGGCGGCACGGCUCUGUCCCCUAUUUCUUCUUUCUCUUCUUCGAAAUUCAGACCUCCACAUCGACCAAUUUCAAAUCCAAUCUCUCGAAGAUCCCUUCAGCAGUCUUGUAGAGUAAUCCAUGUACUUCAAUUGAUAGAUUGGCCGCUACCUGAAAUGAGCACCCUAACACCGAGAUUUUGAAGCUCAAAGUUUGACCAGAACCUUUUGUAACUGAACCUCGGUCAUUCAGUCUCGUCAAGAUCCAAAACAGCGACUUCUUCCCUACUUUGAGCUCAAUUUAAAUUGCUUAAACUCCUUCCAUACAGCUUGAACCUUGCCUAUCCUUGUUCUACUACUGUUGGCGCUAGAAAUUGGCUGAUCGAAUUCCCAGCGUCAGACACACGACCCGGGAGAAUCUGCUUAGCUCCUGUUCGAGUGAUCACCCUAGUGCGGUUCGUGCAGCGUGCCAGCCAAUCUGACCUGUUGAUUGGCAAGGAAAGAAACGUGUCAGAUCCCAGAGGUUGCGAUCGGCUAAGGUUCCGAUCUCGAGAUAGCUUAUCAGUGAAUCGGCCGAUUUGCUGUAAUAAGGAAAUCGGCUAUAAUGCAGCCGAUUACCGGGCAGCGUUAAUAAAGAAGACUGCUGGAGUAAUCUAAACAAUGCUUAUAGUAACAACACUAGGAAUAGAUCUAAAUCGGCUAUGCGUAAAAUAAUAGAUUGAAUAACAAGGCACAGGAAAGCCGAAAGUUCCAAUUCCUAGCUGGAUAACUGGUGAUAAAACUAGAACUACAGGUAAAACCUAGAAUUCUAGUGGAUAUCGAUAACUGGUGAAUAAAUCUAAAUGAAACGACAGCGAUGCGCCCGAAGUUAAAGCUUAGAUAUUACUCGGUAAACGAAACUUACAGAAUCAGCCGGAGGUCAAGUUGAUGCAGCCUAGCCAACUCGUAUGAACUCGUGAAAAAGAAGAAAAGUAUUGGCGAAAUCGCCUGCUUGAAAGUAAGUGUGAGGAAAUAGUAGUUUGUUGUAUUGAUUUGAUGAUGAUUACAGAUCUACAAGGGUGGCUAUUUAUAGCCUGUUACAAACGACUUCUUAACCGACUAGAACUCUAUCUCUAAUUUUAAACAAAAAAUGAAUAUUUACAAGUACGACUCGUACUGGGUCAAUCAUCAUGCUGUCAUGGGCUGACUCCCUUUUUACCUUCAUAAUCCACUUCAAGCCCACACCGGCCCAAUUCCUCCAGCCUCCUAAUCGGCCGAUUUCUACCAACUCCAUUGGCAAGGGACAGCCGAUUACGGCCCACAUGUUUGGGGUUCUGACUACUCCGACCCUGGGACCUAAGGUCGGGCGAGGUGGAGUCCCUCCCUCAGAGGGUCGGGCGCAUCCGACCCCAGGACUCAGGGGUCGGGCGAGGCGGAGUUGCACCCUUAAAGGGCAAUCGGCCAAUCCUUGACUGUAGCACCAAUCGGCCGAUUUCCAACCAUGACCUCUGUGUCUUGCCGCAUCUCCUGAGUUCUUCCUUUCCUGACGCCGAUUUCAUACGAGUCAAAAUAUGGCGUCAACAACUACUAACAAAGAUUCCAUUUUGCGCAUGAACUCAUAUACCUUUUACAUUGGAUUUUUCUUAAAUUUGCUCCAAACAUUGCUAAUCAAUGCCGUUUUUCAGACAACAUUAUUUCGGCAAGAAGCCUGAAAUCUGUGCAUUUGCUGAAUUUUGGGCUUCGCUUUAAAUUCGAACCUUCCACUUUCUCUGGCCAACAACAUUUCAUUUACCUUCUCUAUAGUCCAUAUUUCACUAAUGUCCAAAAACAUCUGCUCACUUACAAGAACAAUUCUCCAGAAAUUGGCUCCAAAGUUGUGUACUCAAUAUUAAUUUCAGAGUUACGCGUUUUCGGAUGACUAAGUGACUUUGUUGAUUCCAUAUUCGAUUGUAUUUAUGAGAGCUUUAUAACUUGAUUUAGACUUCAAGAUUCAUUCCUUUGAGUUAUGAAUACUCUCAAGACUCUAUUUCCUAUUUUUGCCAAAUUUAUCCAAAUUUGAAACUCCAAAUUGCAAAUUUGGUUGAACUCGGCUCAAAUUCGAUUUUGGCUCAAAUUACCUUCCUUUAAUCCAACUUCACCAUUAGCUUCUUAAUGUGAUACUUAAGUUGUCAUUAACACUGGGUGUUACAGCCUCCUUGUCGCCCACCUCCGUCCCCGCCGCCUCCGUGCCCGCCAUUGCCCGCCGCUCCAGCCGCCGUUGCCUGCCGCCUGGCCCACCGCCACCUCCUCCGUCGCGCCCCCUCAUUGCCACCUCCCUCUGCACUGCCUCCUCAUCGUCGCUCUCCAUCGCCACCUCCGUCGUCUGUGCCAGCUCCGACCCCGCUGCCACCGGCAUGCGCCGCCCCGACCUCCUCGUCUUCUGCAUUGCCACUCCGUCGCCCCGUCCGCCGUAGCUCGCCGCCAAACCUCUGCCACCUGCCAGCCCGGUGACGUGCGGCGCCACCCCCAUCGCGACCCCCGGCCCUCUCCACACGUACAAUGGGGCCCUUGCUGAUGCUAGGGCCCUUUUUUAUUUUUUUAGUUAGAAAAUCAGUAUGAUUAGUACAAAAUCAGUAGGAAAUUACUAUUAUUAGUUGAAAAUCAGUAGGAAAUUACAAUAAUUUAGUUCAGAUGCUUAGUAUAAUUUUGUAUACAUUUUGUAUAACUUUGAGAAAUUACUACCUUUUAUUAUAAAUGAUUCGAAAAUUAGUAGAAAUUUGUAGCAAUGCUUAAGAUUUAUUCAGGAUAAGUUCUUAGUAUGAUUUUGUACACAUUUAGUAUAAUUUUUAGUACAUUACUAUUAUUUAGUACAAAUGCUUCGAAAAUUAGUAAAAAUUAGUAGAAAUUUGGUAGAAAUUCUUAGAAAUCAGUAGAAGUUUGUAGAAAUUUGGUAGACAUUCUUAGAAAUCAUUAGAAAUUUGUAGAAACACUUCAAAUUUGGUACAAAUUCUUAGAAAUUAGUAGAAAUUUGAAGAAACACUUCAAAUUUGGUAGAAUUGCUUAAAAUUAGUAGGAAUUAGUAGAAAUUUGGUAGAAAUUCUUAGAAAUUAGUAGAAACACUUCAUGUAGGAUUCGUUCAAGACAUUUCAUGUAAGUUUCAUUCAAGACUUUCAUGUAACUUUCUUGUAAGUUUUCAUGUAAGUUUCAUUAAAGACAUUUCAUGUAUGUUUCAUUCAAGAUAUUCAUGUAAAUUUCUUUUAGGUUUUCAUGUAAGUUUCAUUAAAGACAUUUUAUGCAAGUUUCAUUCAAGACAUUCAUGUAAAUUUCUUGUAAGUUUCAUGUAAGUUUCAUUUCGUGUAUGGUUUCAUGUGUAGAUUUCAAUCAGUUUGUUUUUUUUCAUGGUUGUUCUAUGAUUUCAUGUAUAUACCUUAACGUACAUGUAACUAUAAUUUCAUGUGUGUUUAACGUAGUUGAGAUGGCAGACGACAAGACCGCAAGCUAUCUAAUGGAGCAGAUUAUUGCUGGUGGUAGUGGCUCCAACCUUCCCGUAACGUACAUCGAUAAAGAGGGUACCUAGGCGAACAUGUUCCUCAACAUGUCCAGCGAUGGCAAUGAAGAGCCUCAGCCCUAGCAAAACCUUGUCGUGAUGGAAGGUUCCAGCGAGGUAUAUAUCAUUUCCAUUGUUUUACCCCAUCUAUAAUGUCUUAUUCAUUAUUAUUAUAUACUAAUUAACGAAUCUUGAACUGUUAGCCCUCUGGAUCGAUGAACCGUCAUAAGCCCUGAGGCCGUACAAAGGUGAUGGAUGGAGGGCUUAUCAUCAUGGAAGUCACAGAAGAGGGCAAGCCGGUUGCUCCCGAAAACAUGGCAAAAAAGUACGUGAGCCAGAUCGAGGCAAUCGUAAGGGACAACGUGCCCAUCAACAUCAUGGAAUGGAGGGGUGAAAGUACUAAUGGAUACGCGCUCUCGGAUACAGAAAAGGAAAUGUUGUGGUUAGAUGUUAAGAAACAUUUCACAUUUUUCCCGAAGGAUGUAAUGAAGAUUAUGUGAAAUCGUGGAUGCUGAAGAAGAUGGCCACACAAGAAGGGCUGAUGUCCAGAUUUCAAUGAGUGGUCAGGGACCACUGGGAGUCAUUUGUUGAAUACAAGACGAGCGAAACGGUGCGAACAAGGUUCGCACCAACUUUGUAAAUGCUGGCAAGAAGGAGUACCAUCAUUGUCUAGGGCGAGGUGGUUACAACACUACAAUUUCUAGAUGGCGCAAGAUGGAAAAAGACCUGAUUGAUUGGGGUAUCCUACCAGCAACUCUUGAAUAGCCUGAUCGAUCGAAAAAUUGGUAUUACGCUCAUGGAGGCAACAUGAGCCAAGAGGAUGGGACAUUGAUCUUCAAUGAGACAAUAUGUCAGAAGGCCAAAAGGCUUAUCAAGAACAUUGAAGAUGACACGGCUGGGAGUUGAAGGUGGACCGAGAGAAUAAUGAGCUAACAUUGGCCCAAGAAUCCCGAGCACCUAGGAUAUUGCCGAGGGUACGGGGUCAUUCUGUGGAAGUUCGCUUUUCGAGGCGACAUGGACUCAUACAGAAGCCGCAAGCGAAGAAAGGAAUAGCAAGAGGAGAGCUGGCGGCGCAUGUUAGAAUCCAAAGUGCAUUCACAUGAAGUAAGAAUGCAGGAGGAAAUCAAUCAUCGAGUGGCCCUAGCAGUUGCGAAGUUGGCCCAAUCUAGAGCACUGCCGGAUCCAAACGUUAGAUGAGCAACGGUUCUUUGUGGCUGUGAUCACGCAACGCACCUCAUGUGAAUGGCAUAAACUGGUCGGCAACGUCACCAUUAAGGUAUACUUAUACAUAAUAAUUAUGCAAUCUUCUCAAUCCAUCCACGCCUCAGGAGUUUAAUAACUUCUUUAUUUCUACUAUAUGUACAAGUGGCAUACGAGAGUGCCUUACCAAUCCUGCCAGGGUAGACAAGCGAUGCCAUGGAGGUUCUACCUGGCUAUGCUAGCGUCAGCCUAGAGCAGCUCGUUGAUAGCCAAUAUGAAGGCCUAGAGCUCGACCUCCUGGGAGGCGAUGGGGAAAGGACACUAGGAGAUGCGCUUCACGGGAUCAUUCUAUGGUGCAAAUGUUACAUCAUCAUCCCCGGCAUGGAGGCAUCAUUGCUCCCCGUAGAUCCCCAGCAGCGACCAUCUCCUCAAAGCUCUCGUCAUCUCCACCACGGCCUUCUCCAGGACCGUCAUCUCCACCACAACUUGCUCCAGAACCAUCAUCUCCAGCACAACCAGCUCCAGGACUGUCGUCACCACCGGGACCGUCUCUUCCUGCUCGAUCACGGUCUCCAUCUCCAGCACAUCCUAGUGGUGCGAGCGACGAUGACAAUAACACCCCUUCCCAAUCACCAUCGCCAGGACUAAGAGCUGCAUCGAGCAAGGAACCUGUAGCAACACUUAAGAAGUCGCAACCACCGCCUCCCAAGCCAAGACAGAGAAAGAAGAAAACAAACAAGCCUGAAUUGACUCCUGACAAAUGUAGGGAGGAGAAAAUGCAUGAGGAUUGCUGGCCCAAACCAAAGCAGAAUGCAGGGAGCGGUUCAAGAAAAUGGCCGAAGAAAGAAAAGCAAAGGCGAUGGAGCCACCGCCAGUAGAUCGAAGACAAUUAAAUUUUUUUAUAAAGAUGUCAGAAGAAGCCAAGAAGAUGCUGCCACCUUAAACUACGAUCGGGUGUUAGUCAAGGCUGAUGAGAGGAAAAAAUGGAAAGGAAAGUCGUCUUCAAGGGGUACUAUCCUCCACCUUAGACAUCUACCAAAAAAGACUCUCAAAAGAAAGCAUCAAUGCUAGCAAUGCCCUUGGAUCAAUAAGAACAAGUAGUGAAAUUCAUACAAGAAACAGGAAUGUCCUUUUCUGAAUGUCUAGGGCAAAGUGAGCCACCAGCUGCAUAGCCAGUUGAACCGAAAUGGACCUUUUGAGCUAGGCAAGUCUCUGGUAAGGCCUGAGUUGAUAUGGAAACUAUCAACAAAGAUGUACAAAUUCCAUGAAUGGUACAUCAAGCAGUCCAUCGUUGACAGGGAAAUAUUCGACCUUAAGGUCAAACCAAUAGCCUGGUUGACGUCUCUCUCAUCAGCGCCUGGGCUUUGCAAGUGUUCGUUUAUCUAUAUGUAAAUUUUGGCUCAUAUCAUUAUUUUUUGUGCAUGCAUCGCCCUGCUAACUUCGUCUUCCAUUUUAUGUAGGAUGCUAAUUCAGAUGUGCUGAUGGGAAGUGUACUUCCAUGUUGGCUUCAUGGAUCCAUCCCUAGUUAACCAACACAAGAUAUGGGAUUUUGCAGAGAAAACGUUGAUGGAAGUAUACAAUUUCCUGGACAAACAAAAUUACAGCAAGGAAUACAUCCUACUUCUAUACAACUUCAAGUAAGUGUGUGUAUACCAUCUAUUUUUAUUUUCUUUUUCCUUACCUGAUUAAUGUUAGUUAGCUCUAAUAUGAACAAUUACGUACGCAGUUUCCACUGGAUCCUCCUAAUAAUUGAGCCUGAUAGAAGCCACAUCACUGUCUUCGAUUCAUUGAGGAAACCACCGAAGGAGUACCAAGACGUUCAAGACAUGCUAAACUUAAUAAUUCUGGACUUUAUCUCUGUGCAAAAGUUUGUUUCCUAAAUUUUCACCUAACACUGUAUCAUUCAUUAACACAAAGGUCCAUUCAAAGAAAAACUUACAUGGAACACAAACUUCCUGGCAUGUAUGAAGUUUGCAUAUUUUGUACAUUAUAUAGCAUGAAUAUUUCAUAACUUGUUUUUCCCCACUGUAGUGCUUAAGACAGGAACUCAAAAAUAAUCUAUGUGGCUACUAUGUCUCUGAGCACAUGCAUAGUUUUUUGGGACACAAGGUACUAAAGAUGACGCCGCACAACUAUAAAGUACGUAAAAGAAAACUAUUAAUAGUUAAAUAUUUUCUAGCUCCUUAUAUUUAAUUGUUCGUGUAACAUUCACAUAUUUCCAGAUUACAGAUGCAUAAUAUUCAACAAAAACUCUUGGAGAAGGAAAGAAUAAGGGCAAUAUGUGAAGGUCUCAUGGGAUUCCUGGUGGACGAGGGGGUACAUCAACAAGGAGAAUUUUAUUACAAUGGAUGAAAAUUAGACGCACCGAGCAACACCACGACGGGAAGAUCCAAGGAAUGACUGGGGCAAAUUUUUGUAGAUAUAUAUACUAAUUGUAUAAAUACUAUGCUAAGAAUUGUAUAUAUACUAAGAAUUGUAUAUAUAGUAAUUGUAUAAAUACUAGUUUGAUUUCAUAAUAAAAAAAGUCUUAACUAAACUAAAGGGUACGUGAUGCAUGAAAUUACAGGCGCCUGCCUGCAUGGCGCCUGUAAUUUCAUGCAUGCACUUUAGUCCCGGUAGAAAAAACCAACCGGGACUAAAGGGAGCACCCUUUACUCCCGGUUGGUAAAACCAAGGAGGACUAAAGGGGCCUGUCCCGCGCCUAGCGUGGCAGCCCCUUUAGUCCUGGUUGGUUUUACCAACCAGGAUUAAAGGGUGUCUUUAGUCCCAGUUGAGUGACCCGGGACUAAAGACCCCCCAUUCGUCUUGAUUGCUUUAUCCCGGAUGGAUUUUCGGGAAAUUUUAUCCCUACCAACCAGGACUAAAGGUGAGUUUUCUACCGGUGCCUGUUCUAUCUCACUCAUUUGUCCUGUAGCUACAAGCUAAGGCCCCAUGUCAUCUAUGGCUUUUGUCCUGUAGCUACUAGCUAAGCCCCCGUAUCAUCCAUGGCUUCUGGUGCCUCCACCACACUGAAGAUGGCCUCUAUCACCCCUUGCAUCCUGCUGGUCCUGCUGUCCAAUGGCCACCCUACGAUGGUGGCCGUUGAUUGUGUUGCGGCUUGCAAAGACCCGUGCCAGAGCUUUUCUAACGGGUUCUGCGCGGGUGGAGCCACUGGCGGUUGCACAACUACGGCAGCAGCUACAACAUGCCGCAAUUUGGCGUUCUCGCAGUGUGCGAACAACUGCUUCAUAGUUUGCACUGCCGAGAUCAUCACGCCUUGCACUUGAAGAUGCAUUUGUGUUCCUACUUCCAUGUUAUUAUUAAUGCAGAAUAAUAUGGAUAAAUACGUGCAAGCAGGCCUGCCGUCCGCGGGAGGAGGUACGCAAGCACGCAUGAUGAGCCACUGUUGUUUUUCCAUUUUAUCAUUUACUUAUUGAAGGCAAUGUACGUGCCUAUCUCCUGUGUGGUUGAGCAUGUCAUGUUGGAAUUCUGUCCAAAGUUUUACAUACCAUCUUGUAUUGUUGUGUAUGCGUAUCAAUAUAAUUUAUGAACUAUUUU
rnacentral:lncRNA from 1 species